AAUCUAUUAGAAGAAGAAAGCGACAUUACCAGCCAUGUCCACUAUGUGGAGUGAAAUCGCGUGUGCUACACUGAAACCACUGAAACAGCUUAACAUCUUCCUAUUUUUUCGGGUAAGUCUCAUUAUUUGUCGCUGUAGUUGUUUUAUUAAGCGCCUAAAGUUGCUAUGAGAACCGUCUAUCAUUUAGUACUCUCCUGCAUGGUGUGGUAAUUCUGUAACUUGGCUAGCUAAUGUUAGCUUGACGAGCGCGAGCGGCGCUAGUUAGCUGCGCUAGCCGUAGAUUUACGAACGGUUAUUUAACCAGAGGCUAAUAAUUGAUGAAACGUGGUUAUCAAUUAACCAAUAUUUAAAGUAAUGAGAAGAGCUGGUAUGGUAAGGACGGUUGUAUUUGCUUGUUUGUUAGUCAAACUAGUGUAUAUUUUUUGCUUUGUCAUGGCCUUGAAUGUAAACCUAGAAGAACUGGUUAUAGUUGCAGCUAUCUAUAAUUGCAGUUGAAGGCAUAGGAAACUGCUGUUUUCUUAUUUUCCCCAAGUAUUGUUGGAGUUUUUUUUCACUUAUUCCUGCCAUUUCUUGCAACAUUUACCCCAAGUUUCAGAAGAACUGUGAUUGUAAAAGUGCACCUCUAUGGUUUAAGGCUUUGAAGGGAUAUUCUUAAUUUAGUAAAAUUAAGUGAGGGUCAAACACACCGUAACACCCCCCGAGAGAUGAAUGUUGCAGACCGCUUGCUUCUCUAAUUAUACCAACUUUAGUAAUGACAGCAGGAUAGCAAUACACUACGGUCUGAGGAGCCAUUAACAGACCUCAACCAAAACACCUCGCUAUAACCACAAAUAAUGCUCAGAACAGCACCUAACUUCAUCAACAGGACAGAUAGGGUCCCAGCCACAGCACUAACCAUCAGACAUCUUUUUAACUUUGCCUAAUUUCUUUAUCAAAGAGACUGAACACAACUCACCUACCCUCUUCCAGCAGCCGCUUGUCUGUCGCAAGACCUCGACCAGUCCAUUACGGGCUACCUUGGGGUGACGCAGCUCAAGGAAGAACAUUCAUGAUCAUUUCUCUACCAUUUCCUUGAAGUAGUAAUCAUCAUAUUAAUUAUUUUGCACUGCAGACGCUGUAUUUCUUCUGCCUUAGCAUCUCAGUCUGAUUGCAUUUCCAUGAAGAAAUGAUCAUAAAUGUUCUUCCUUGAGCUGUGUCACCCCGCAGCAGUACACCAGAAUAUCCCUUUUUAAGUUUGAAUUUUAGAAAUGAUGACAGUACCUACUUGAAAUCAAUUCUGAAAUUCUCUUCACAAUUGAAAAAGACGCUUGUCUAUGUGUGUGAAAGAGAAAGAAAAACUUAUAAUGUAUUGGUGUAAACAUUUUCAGUAAGGGUAAAUGAGAUAUUUGUGCGCCUGGGGGGGAUGGUGUGGACAGAGAGUAGGCCACCGCCUGUUGUGAUUGUGAUUUGCAAUACAGCAGCCAGCUGAAGCUUGCAACAGGGAGGCUCACAGGCAGCGAGUGAAUUUCAUUAAAUAUUUCAGUGCUUCCCAGCAUUUAUGAGGAGGUCAAGGUAUGCAACUAAAAGAUGAGAAAUUUGCAUUGCAGAAUUCCUCUUUUACUAUGCCAUGGCCUAGUGCUUGCACUGGAAUGAAUUAUUCCUCGGCUGAUUUGAUAUUCUAGUUGGUGCACUCAUAAUCUGAGGGGUUGUCGUGUAAAAUGUGUAUUUUCACUGGUUCCAUAUCUUGCCUACUGUCAUUUUGAAGUUUUUGAUGAAUGAACAUACAAUCGCUUAUCUUGUCAACAUCCUGACACUGUAUGUAACUGGGCAUUGGAAUCCUUUGGGUUGGUUUUCUUCACAACAGCACUAGAGGAAAAGGCAGCACAGCAGAUUGAGCACAGAUGUGUGGAGACAAAAGUCAAUCAGGAAGUACUUAGCCAGUAGAAGAGGAAGUGAAGUGACAGAACCUAUUUGAAGGGACCCAACGGCAUGAAUGCAAAUACCUUAUCUCUCUCUGUAACCUCUUCCUUUUAAAUAGUGUCAUCAAAAAAGACGGACUCAGUCUUGCAUAAAUGUUAUGAAAAAAAGCAAAGAAGCAGGUACUCUUUCACACACGUUACUCUGGUUUGAGUCAUAUCCUCCUUUUUCUGAUUGUCAGUUUUUUUCCCUGUGUAUAUGAAAAAUACAGUAAUUGAUGUCUAUUCAUAUUACUAUCAUGUACGGUGUACAGGUAUCCUGAUUGUUAUUCUUCAAGCGCGUCUGCCUCUCGUAGAAUUUUACAUCAUGUAGCAGACGCUUCUGUCCAAAUCACCUGUCUCUGCAACUGAGGUUCCUUAACAGAAAAAUCGAACACACUUUGAUGUGGAGCUGUGUUUUCUCUUAAUUUAGCUUCUCUUUAUUUGAUGUUACACUGAAAGACAUGGCAGGAAAGGAUCAGACCCUGAGGUAAUUUCUUUUCAGAGCACUACAGCUCUUGUUAUUUCCAGCAUAAGUACCCAUAAUCCAGUUAGUGACAUUUCUAACUAACUUGCAUAAGAAGUAGCUGACAUGUAGUUUUACUCCUUUUACUGAGACUUCUGGUUUAUAAUUUGCCUUUUUACUUCAACAGUUGUGAAAGGGACUUCAACACUGUAAAUGUUUGGGAACCAAGGAAAGCAGUUUCUGAUGUUAUGGCGGUGAAAUACUUUUAAAGGGUUUUAGCUGCUCAACUGUUCAGAGUCUACAUUGUCAUGAUACCAGAUGUCUACAAUAGGUGACAGUCAGCACAGAUCAAAGUGCUGCCAGAUUGUGCUGUGCUGCUACAUGAUAUUGUCUAUUCGCUGUGCUGGUUGGCUGCAUUUCAGCACAACAUAUGACACGACAUAUGAAGGGCAUUUUGGUCCUACAGUGGUGAAAUAAGCCGAUGAGUAAGUGUGACAGUAUUAAGUAAUUUCAAGUAUUCUUUAGCCUUGGACAUUAGCUUUAUUGCCCUUUUUUUUUUUUAAUUAGAGACAGUAUUGUGUAUAAAAUGGGAUUACUGUUCUACUUAAAUAUACUAUCUUUCCGUUACUAUUCUUCAGUGCGCUCAUGUUUGUGAGUGUAAUUUUAUGAAAGGGUUGAAGAUGGCAAAGUGUUUUUCAUACAUGAAGAAAGUCUUGUCUCUAAGUCUUCACAUAUUUUAAGUCUGUCACGCUGAAUUUACAGCCCUAAAAUACAGAGAUCAGAGAAAACUAGAUUUAGACUCCCCUGCACAUAAACAGCAUAACACUGAUUCCAUUCACCAUUUCAUCUGCAGUAACUGAACCCUUUACUCUUGUUGAUAUUUCCUGCAGCAUGCCUUUACCUUGCACCUACUCCGCUUUCACCCCCCUCCAAUCUUUGCACUUCUUUAUGUGUGAAAACAUCCUGUCCUGUGAGAGGUAUGAAAAUGCUCUCGGUGGUACCAGAGAGUAACUGCGAUGACCCCAUACACCAUGUGUUUAAUAUUGUCACAGCUACAUUUAGUGUGCGUUAGUGUUCAUAGUUAAAGAUAAGGAGAGGGUCAUCAUUACUGUGUGUUUGUGACAGAGCAUAGUGUGUAGGUAGGGUCAUGGCAUCGAUGGGGACCGGGACUGACAUUCCGAUUCUCCCAGAAUCAUUCAAAUUUUAAAAUUUCGAUUCCAAGUUUCGAUGCCGGAGUCCACCGACCAGAAGAAAUAGCCGCCGAACAGGCCUUUAAUGGUUUUGCAAAAGGCAGUGAAGCUUUGCUGACGGAGUGUAGUGGAUUUAGAGUUUGUAUUAAUUGUGCUCACCCCUUACUUAUUUUUCUGUAUGGUCCCUCCAAACAACGCAGUUAUCGGAUGUGAUGUUGGACCUCUCUCUCUCCUUCCCUCUCUCUCCAUUUAAGUUGACAGUGUGUUCCAAAUUUGAGAGCAUUUUACAGAAAAAGUUGUUCCUACUACUUGUUCGCCUCAAGAGGAGUUUGCGUUGAAUUAAAUCAGUUCUAGUAAUGCAAAGUAAAAAAUAAAAAAAGACUCUUAAUUUAUUUAAAAAAAAGGCACCCAGGAUAUUUUUGCCCAGUAGAAUUAAAGCCCUGACUUUUAAAUGCAACAUAAGCUUUUCACAUUGAGAUCCCGUCACAGCAUCAUAAGAAAGCUCUUCAUACAUACAAGUGGGGCAUCAGUGUGUGUAUUGCAGCAUUUCAGAAGCGUCUCUCAUGUAGGCUAAGGGACUGAAUGACUAACACCUGCCAUCACGCCAGUUAUUUUGCACAGCAGAUGUUUUGCAACUGAAACAGCUGUAAGCAUCUUAAUAGGAAGGAACGUAAAUACAGCAAGGUCACACAACAGCACGUUAAUGAUGAUGUACAACCACUUUGAUUUAAAAGCAAUCUUUAUGUUGAUAGUUCAUGUAUCAUUUAUAAUGAAUCAUGAAUUGUGCAUUUUGAAGAGACAAGCCACACUUAUGUAUAUACUCUAUGUGUAUGACAGAUGAUUUUUCAGGCUGCCACAGGCAAGUAUAUUGAUGACAUAUAAUCCUGUGGCAAACAAUUUAAUUUUACAGCAUGAGUGACCGCAGCUUGUUGGGUCUGCAUGCAUCUUUGCUGUUAUUUAUUGACAAUAUGCUCAACAUGUUUUCAUACUGAAGAAGGUUAAGCUUUUUUAAUGUCAUGCUGAAAAGAUUAUGACGUUACAUACAAGUCCAAUGCAGUACGACAUGAGCAACAUACAAUGUAGAAAAUUAAACAGCUGGUGGGGGGGUAAAUUAGAGCAGGCCACUUAGACAGGCAAGAAUUUAUGCUUCACUCUGAAAAGGCUUUUUUCAGACCUUGAUAGAAUGUAAAUCAAUAUCACAGCACGACUCUUUCAAUAUAACCACAGGUUGUAUGCAGUUUGAGUAAUGGGAUUGCAUGCAUCUGUGUGGCUGGCAUUUACACACCUUCUGUCUGCAGGCUAGAAGCCGCCACUCCAAACCUGUGCUCGAUGGAUUUGUUUCACAUUUAUGUGCAGGUGGACUUUUAUGUUUUUUUGCUUAACGUUUGCAGACAUGGAAGAAGGUUAGAUAUUUUCUAAGGCUUCAAAUGUAAAGGAUGCUGUGUAAAAUGUAAACAGAAAAUGUGAUGGUUUGAAAACAUACAUACUUUUAGUUAUUGAUGAAAUUGGUGUGUGGUCCAGGUCAACAGAGGGACCUGUUGGCAAUGUUUAUGGAUGUUUGUAGGAUGAGGAUCAAAGCUGUGAGGUUAUUAUCAAUGCUUUUUGAAGCUCUGGGCCAUCUGAAGUGACUUACUGUUGACAGAAAUGUGGCUGGGGUGAGGGUAAAUCAACGCCAUGAAAGAAAUCAGAAAUAUUGUAAGAGCUGUGUUGAUUAAUUUGCAUUUGUGGCACAGUCGGAGUCUUUGAUAACCCAUGCUUUUCAGGGAUUACAUGAAAUAUGUUUGAAUCAUAAAAGCUGUAACAUGCAAUCUCAUCUGUCAAUAACAGAACAGAAACAGCUUUUGUCUCUGUGAAACUCGCUCUAUAAGGGUCGUGAAUCCCAUUAUAAGUCACAGAAAGAAAGGAUGGCCGAGCACACAACAGCUCUCACCACAGCUCUGGUGUAGGCAUGGAAACGUGAGCUGCAGACAUGUGUCAAGAGAUAUUGUUGGCUCUUUUAGCCAAACACAGCACUUACCAAGACUGCAACAGAUCAGAAAUUAGACAGUUCAGAUUGUGUCGCAUCCUUUUUGGGAUAAACACAUUAUCUAUCUACAUCUUUGAUAAACUAUAAAACUCUAAUACUUAAAACACUGAAGUUCUCUCCUCCCUCUUAAUGCAUGUGACUGUGUGUAAAUAAUUUGAAUUCCUCAUUGCAAAUGGUUCACAUUUUAGGAUUAUUGAACUGUAAAACGCCUCAUGGAGAGGUUGGAUGUGGAGUUGUCUACUAAAGUCUAAAGACAGUGCCCAUCAGAAAUGGCUUGUGAAAAAUGUUGAGUUGCAUGUCAUAUGAGUUUUUUCUUUUCACACAUUUGCUGCCAGAAGAGGGAUCAAUAACGAGGAAAGGACAGGCGUGAAAAGGGAAUGCGUGGUUAGACACAUCCACUCAUUGCUACAUAACCUCCUUUCUAUGCGGUGUCACACUUGGUUAAUGUUGUGGGGCUUAUCUGAAAGUCCAGAGGAUUAAUAAGUAGAUCCACACUAAUCUCUAAACAGAGGUUAGGAGCCAAUGAUAAAUCUGUUGACUGUUGUCUGGCUGUCUUUGUUGACAUAAAAAAAAUAUUGUAUCCUUAAACAUCACCAUGAGACAUAUUUGCCUACACUAAAUCCACCUUUUUCCCUUAAAAAAAAGUCUUUUUUUAGCCAGUUUGAAACAGUUUGUUUGAAUGAUUGGCAACAAGUUAAAGUGAGAUUGAUCAUCAAACUUACAUGUGUGAGCAUUGAACAGUAGAUAUCAGUACAGAGGUUCCUGAAGUGACACCGCCACCUAGUGCUGGUCAUUACAGUGAGGAAGCUGUAGUCUGGGCUCACUAAUCAAACAGCUAUUUGAUUGUUUUUUUUAAUGAGUCAUCGAAUAAGGCUGGUUUUUAAACAACCUUAAUCAACAGAUUUGAGAAGUGGACAGGAAUCUUUGGUCAUGUUUUGGCCUGGUUCCACUCUGACAUCUUUAACUGAGAGUUUUUAGUCAACUUCUUGAUCUGCUGUGUCAGAAAAGAUGAAAUGAGGGUAAUCUGUUCGGUCUCUACAGCCCGCUAACACGGACAGAGACGUGGUCGAGCUGCAAUCAUGAGAGGCAGAAUUGAGUCAGGCAUGAGUAAUUGCAGCUUCAGUGGCUGAUGGGGUGGAAUAAAUCUGUAAAUGACUUUGAAAUAAAUGUAGUGGCUUCGAUGUUGAGCCUUAAGUAAUUAUAUAUUUUUUUUCCUAGGCAGGAUGGACAGAAGGGGCGACUUAACAGUCUAAAAAUGGACCAACAUAUGAGGUGAGACUCACUCUGUGUGUGUAACAUUUUCAAACCCUUUACUAUCUAUCUGUGCUUUCUUAUUGAGUUCCUCUUUUGAGUAAAAAUAAGGCCCUCUGGUGUUCAAAGCAAAGCUGAUGAUGCACACUAAGAUCUCUGCAUGUUUUUUUUUCUGAAAUUAUAUUCUUAUUAGAAUAAAAUCUGCGAGAACUCAAUAACAAUCCCCAAACGAAGAAACCAUCUUACUCCUCCAGCAGGUAACCAUAAAAAAUAAACAGCAGGAAAUAAAACAAGUAGUGCAGAAAAACUUCUCCAUAUAAGUAUUUCUCAUGAAUAAUACAUUUAAGAGGGAGUUUCAUUGUCAGAGUUCCUUGGAUAAACCCCAAAUCAUCUAUGUUCGAGUUCCUCGUGCAGCAAAAAAAACUAUGUUUUAAAUCAAACCUCGCUUUAAUAAUGCAGCUGUUUCAGAAGGCCUCGGCAUAAAUCAGCUGCUUUGUUUGAAGCGUAAAAGUUGAAUGAAUAUGAAAUGAAAGGAACUCUGAAGGUGGAUUAUUUAUUAUUUAGUGACGUUUCAUCUGAAACGGACACAAUGUGCCAAAGAAGGAUGUGAGCUGAGAGUCACAUGGCAACUCAAGUUAGGUAAGGACAUGCAAAUCGGAAAUUCUUUUGAUCACUUUUGAAAGAGAGUAUUGCAGGAAUGUUACUUUUACACAAUACAGAGGGAAAAAAAAUCCUUUAUCACUUCAGGUUAACCCAGAUUAGAGUCGUUUUUCUUCAACAACAGAGACAAGUAAAUUAUGUCUGUGUUCAUCAUUUUUAUUUCAAAUAAAUCUAUACAACUACAUUUUUGGUGAUAAACAAAUUGAUAUUGAGAAGCUGAAAACAGAUAACUCCAUUUUUAAUUUUAAUAAGCACGUCUGUAAGUGUAGUUUCCUUAACGCUUCUGCCCAGGAUGCCAUUCAGCUCAGUUGUCAAGUUGUGCGUCUUAAAGACUCCAGUCCUUAAAAGCGUACAGCUCUCCCCUUCCCGUUUUCCCGUUUUUUCCACAAUCCCGUGUCUAAAUAAAGAUGAAAGACUGAGCAUAAAUUCAUGAAAAGGAAAUUCACAUUACAUCAGUAAAUUGAUGAACUGUGACAGCUUGAACUCUAACCCCAGUAUCAGGGGAAAAGUAAACACCUGAGGUGAAGAAAGAAUGCAAUACAGAAUAUCACCAGUAGAGAGCAGGAUUGCUUGUCCUAUUUAUCCUGACCACUCAGUACAUGAUCAUGUUUUUAACAGCAGGAUACUGAAGAUUUAUAAAGAUCAUGUAACCAAUAAAUGCUAGGUAGCUGCACUCUGCACUUCUACAUAAGACAUUUGAUUUUAAUUUAAACACAAGUGUCAAAGAAAAAUGCAAAGAGAGCUUUCAUAACCUGCUUAGUCUUGUUGUUUACAUGAUAAAUAUGUGAUACCCAGUAUGAUAUGAACCUCAGUGUGAACAGUUUUAGGAGACUGUAGCUUGAUCUGUCUAAAUAUAGUGUCACGUUAAACGACCAGUAGUUGUUUAAAAUGUGGUAAAAAAUAUAUUCCUGAUCACAAUAAACAUCAAAAUAAAAAGUUCCUCUGUGAAUGAGCUCUCAGAUCUCAGGUUUGGGUUUGUUUCAUGUCAAAGAUUUCACCACAUCAAUUCAUUUUCCACUCCUAUGGUGGUGCUGUAAAAAAAAAAGAAAAAACUCCAGCUGAAAUUUACCGGUGUCAGCAUCCUGCGACCGCUAAUGCAGAUAAAGUUUCAGUGUUUAUUUUUCACAUAAAUAAUCAUGCUCAUUCUACUCCGAAAAAAAACCUCUUGAAUGUUCAGGAGAGGUAUGAUAAAUUUUGUUUCCAUGUGAGAGAGUAAAAACAACUUUGACAGCAGCAAUGUUUUAACAGGGCAAGUGAAUUUUGGCACCACCAAAGGCACUUUUCCUGUACUUCUUUUUCAGAGGAGUUCAUACAACUCAGCUUAAUCAAGGCUGCUGAGCACAAAGGGGCUAUUUGUUUAAUCAUUUUGGCUCUGACGGGAGGUAUGCACAGACAACCUGGACUCACAGCCGCUGCUAGUUUGGUGUCAGUGUACAUCUAUGUGCCUGUGAACAUGUGUGUUCCUCCAGUGCAGUUAUAUGCUCGCCUCUGCUGUGUCUCUACUGUAUGCAUGAGGCGAAAACUGACUUUAAUUUUUCAUGAAGCCGUGCAGAUCUGAAAGGCUGUAGGAAGUAAAGCUUAUUUUGAGAUGUUAACAUUGAGGAUAUUGGGGUAUAUGGGGUUGCAGAUCUGGUUAGUGGCUACUACCAAAAUGCUUUUUUUGUUCUUAUACUUGGCAUCUUGUAGCAAGGUGCAGUUUGGCAGUAUUCAGAUAUAGAAAAUGGAGAUUAUGUUGUAUAGAGGCCUAUCACUGGACAGGAGCAAUGUGCAACCAGCCCAUGUAGACACAGGGAUUGCAGACUCUGCGAUCCCUUGUUAGAAACACACUGAGGUAAAUUUUGACUCUUUUCUGAGUAGGGCUGGGCGAUAAACCGAAAAUUUAUCGAUACCAAAAAUUAUGACAAUAACUGAUGUAGGACUGGGCGAUGAUCGAGUUAAAUUUCAGUAUGAUCACAGUGAUCAGCUGAGAGCAUAUUUACUCAAUCAGACAUAGAGGAAAUGUGCAUCACAACAGCCAAUCAGAGUCAAGCUUUUCCUGCUCACUUCUGUAAUUGCCGGAGAAGUAAACGGAAGAAGUAAACAGAAUGACUGAACAUGGAGCUGAACGCGGAGCUGAGGGCAGGAAGAGAGGUGUCAGCCGUGACUUUGAGUCAUCCUCCGAAGAUGUUAUUGUUGAGAAGUUAUUCAACGUCGGUUGUGUGGCGAUGGUUCAGGUAUCUCCAAAGUGAUGUCGAGUAAUUAAGCCAAUGAGCAAAGUAUGUCGGUGAUCGGUGCCCUCAAAAACUGGCAACACAACAGAUCUGUUUAAUCAUUUGAAGUUCUUCCCGAGUGAUUAUGCAGAAAUCAUGAAAAUGCAAGCAGAGUCUGUACAGCCUGUCACUGCUGAUGGCACGAGUAGCAUUAGCAGUUUAGCUACAACUGGCAGUGCAGCCACGAGACCAAAGCAGCAAUCAAUCGUAUCAUCUACAUUUACAUCGUCUAAUGUUUACAUUUUAAGGCAUGUUCAUUAUCUCUGAAGGGGCGAUUUGUUUAUUUUGGGUCUUGCAUACCUGCAAAAACACUCAGGACUGUAAACUAAUUCACUGUAUUAUUUAGUAUUUAUUUACAUUUGUUAUACUGUUGAGGUAAAAUGUUUUUUAUAUUUUUCUAAGUGUAUCUUAUUCUUUGUUAUUUACUUUGUAUGUUAAUAAAAUUUUUAACUAAUCUCUAGUUUCUUAAUUUUUAGUACAGAUGCUUUAAAACAAGCAGUUAAAAAAAAAUCGUGAUAAUAAUCGAGAUCGGACGAUAUGACAAAAUAUAUUGUGAUCAUUUUUUUUGCCAAAUAACCCAGGCCUACUCCACCCCAACCGGUCCGUAACAAAGAGGGAAAGACAGGUGAGGAGAUGGAGAUGGAGAAAGUUAAUGUGGAAGGGGGUGAACAGCUUGUGGAGUAGUUAUCGUCCAUUUAUCAUUAUCGAGGUGAACUGCUCAAUAUAUUGUGAUAUUGAUUUGAGGCCGUAUCCCCCAGCCCUAUUUCUGAGUGUUUUACUUUUCUUCAUUCUGAAAGAUUUUAAUCAGAGAAGCAAGUUUAAAAUCCUUGACAUUCAGUACAGAUCAGUUUGUUGGUCUCACAUUUAUGUGUCUGUUUCAUAAAAAAGUCAAGUCUCUUUAGAUACUUGCAGGAUGAGUCAGAGUAUCGAGAAAGCUUUUGGAUCUGUCUAUCUGAUGCCUUGAGUUUUGAAUGACUGCAGCUGGCAUGGCUAAAAAUAGUGUAGGUGUUAAAAGGAAUAAGUCGGCAAAUUUUCAUGCUGCAGGUCUUUUUUUUUUAAAGGCUCUAGUUGCACAGGAUUCUGUGAGGUUAGCCCUGUGCAAAGUAGCAGCUCCAUCGCAAUUGUCUCAGAAAUCCUUUGAGCCUUUCAUCCCAGAUCUUAUUUCGUCUGCUCUGAACGUCUGUUUGAUCAAGUGACGGGACGGAGCGCUUUAGAGGUGUAGUAUCUGCCCUGCAGCCAUGUUUUUCUCUAAAGCUGUUAUUUAUGUAAUGCGCGGCACCUCCCCCCUCCACAAAAGUCCAACCUGAAGCUGUCAGACACAACUUAAAAGUACAGUGCCGUAAUGACCUUCAGCGUAAAAUAGCUACACACUACCUGAGGCCCUGACAGCACACUGUCAGCACAGCGUCCACUUCUUACUGUACGCCGCCAGCCUUUCAAGCAAAAAAAGAAACCAUGUGAGCAACCUGAUCCCUGUUGACACAGAGUUUAAACGACAGUAUUCCACAAACACGGAGGCAUUGGGCCUCCUCUGGGGACUUGUAUGAACCCGCAGCUUCUGUGUACAGUUUAAAAAGCUAGUAGAUGAUUAGAAGGAUCAAAUGGCCAGGGGAUAAAACCACAAAGGGGUGCUCUGCCCCGUGUGAAAACAUUAAGGUGCUCAUUAUGAUUACUUACGACCUGUUGACUCACUGAAAUUGCUGUGAAAUUGGCCAUACUGUAGAGGAAUUCUGCGCCCAGACAGACAGUAAUUGCAUUUCCUGUUAGUCUCCGAGUCCCCCUCUCUCUCCCUCGCGAUGUGUUUGAGUGUGUGACUGAACACCUCUGUCAGCUGCCCUUGAUCACAGAGAGUCGACAGAACUAGUUCUAGCAGAGACAGUCAAAAGAGAUGAAGGGAAACAGCACAUAUUACACUCUGGUUGCAUAUGAAGUGAAAACCUUCAGAGAAUGUUUUAAAUUAGGGGUUUUUUUUAUCAUCAUCAUUGUGAAAACGGCUUUUUCCAAGACCUCACAAAUUGUCUUGACCCUUUAAGGCAUAAGUCGGCUUUAUAGGAUUUUUUUUUUUUCUGAUGGCACUGAUUGUCAAGAGAGCUGUUACCUUCAAAACCUGUGUUGGCGUAUGCGCACAUGAGGCACGUAUAAAAACCCUCCCGCUGAUGUGAAACGCAACUCCAGAAAACGCUUGAGUGCAUCCAGGCCCUCCUAAUGGCGCUUAGCUGGGAGAACACGCUCACUCCUCCGUGUCCUGUUCGAUAAAACCGGGGUUUGGAUGCGUGCCAUCCUGAGGGGCUUGGCAGGAUGCAGUGACUCGCUGAGGUUUGAAACCCCAUUAAAAAUUGUCACUUUAUUUUAAGCAGCUGCCACACUUGUGAGUCCCACAUCCUUCUGGAAAACCAAUCAGAGCCUCAGUGCCGGCUGGGGAUUGGCCAACCGACACUCAUACUGUGAUUGUCUGAGCUGUUAAAGUUUGUUUCCCUCUCGAUGACUUUAGGGUAAUGGUGGCUUUUAAUUUUCUUGUCAGCUGAAUUAAAAGGCGUCUGUCCGGCCUGUUGUGCCCCGAGACGCUGGGAAAAGAUUAUUUAUGAAACUUUCACAGCAUACCUGACUAAACCAUGAUGGUGGUGUGUGGGCCAGCCCAUAAUCCCAACUAGAUUUAUCGAAUUAGCUACAGCUAGACGCUUUAGAGCACAGACUGCAUAAUUCUCAAAUUUACCCUCCUGUAACCCUCCUUUGUCAGCUCAAAGCUGGGUUACAGUGUGUUUUUUCAUAUGCAUGUAUGUUUAGCUUUGACUUCAUGAUUGUAACGUGUUAUAUGUAACCUACCUAAUCUGUUUUACACACACAGAUGGGAGACGGGGCAGAGAAGACGAUGUGAGAGAGCAAAGGAGCGAAUAUGGACUCCAGGCAGCAGGUCCCAUGUUCCUGAAUUCAGAGUAAGAAACACCACAUGAAGGUCAGUGACCAAAGUUAGGCCUUAAUGUCAAAGUGCAAGGUUCAAACCUCACCCCCAGGUACAUAAGAGAAGGCUGAGUCUUAGUCUUCACCUGUUUUGCUCACACAGUAACACACACUGCAUGUAAAUGGGCGGCAGUAGCUCAGGAGGUAGAGCGGUCGUCCAGUAACUGGAAGGUUGGCGGUUCGAUUCCCCCCUAUCCCAAGUCUGUCCGUUGUGUCGUUGGGCAAGACACUUAACCCACCUUGCUCCCAGUAUGUGUCCUCUACUGGUGUAUGAUUGUGAGUGUUGUGUGGUGGUGGUCACAGAGGCCGUAGGCGCAAAAUGGCAGCACAUACACAAUGAAAUACAUAAACCUGUAUUAAUAACUAGUAUAUAUGUCAUAUCUAUAUACAGUAUAGGGUGUAGUCCACUUUGUAGAAGAAAAAAUGAGUAUCUUACACUCAUUUUUUGCAUUUCUUGUUUAGGGUGACUAUACGUCCUCUUUUUUCUGGACAUGUCCUCUUUUUUUGGGGGCUGUCUGGCCUUGUCCAGCUUUGUCUGGUGGAGUUUAUAAAAUCCUUCAAAUGUCCAGAGUUUUGUAUGGAAGUUUUGAGUUUGUGUCGCGUGGACUUACUGAGUCAGAAGCGCGUAAAAAACUCUCAACCCGACCUGAAAAACUCUCAAAAUUUACUAUGUGCGACUCAGUGACUCCGCCCUGUGUAGUAGUGUCCUCUUUUUGGUGAUUCAGAAUAGUGCUGGACGAUAAUUCGAUAACAAUAUAUAUCGAUCGAUAGACGUGUGGUGCGAUAGAAAAAAAACGGGUCGAUAAAAAGUUCGAUAGAAAAACACAGUUUCCCUUUCUUUUUCAUCAUAGCCUAUCAUGUAGCUUUUACUACAGUCAUUACUUCCUCCUAACCAAUCACAAACGCAGACCCAGGUACGCUACGGCACCAAGCCCAGCCCCUAUCAAACCACAACAGACAGCACGUGUAUUAGAAAAAAUGAUACAGCACGGAGAAGCGGAGUACAUUGUCCCGAAAAAAGGUUUCAGUAGUUCACCAGCAUGGCAAUGUUUUGGUUUUUAGAAGUCUGACAAAAAGCGAACAGCGGUCGUUUGCAAAAUUUGCGGAGAAUUAGUAAAAACCAAGUCUGGUAACACAACCAACCUGUUUUACCAUCUAAACCGAUCGCACCCGCAGGAGUACGAGCUGUGUCGGCCGCGCCGCGGCUCCACGUCGUCGUCGGAGGAGGAAUCCUCUGGAACCGCUGCCAGCACCAGCACAAAGCAUGUGAAGCAGACCAAACUGGACUUUGUUUCUUGCCAAAAUACGACAAAGCGUCCGAGCGGCAUAAGGACAUCACCCAUGCAGUAACAUGCUCCAUAGCGAGGGACAUACUGCCAAUAACUACCGUUGAAAAGCCUGGCUGCAAACAGCUUCUAGCCACUCUCGACCCGCGAUAUGAAGUGCCCGGCCGCAAGUAUUUCUCAAACACAGCGCUUCAGGCAUGAAAAUGGGUCAGGGGUUGAAAAGGUGAGAAGGGUGCGGAGGAAAUACGUUCAAAUGAGCUCAUAUUUUACAAAGACGCGAGUAUUUGGAUCAUGGCUACUAGCAGGGGGUGCAUUCGGCAGGGGUGCAUUCUACGACACAACACCGGCGUGGAUAAGUCCUGCUUCUCGUGCUUAGUUUGUGUAUUAAGUCAAUCACAUGAUAAUUAAAAAAAAAUAAAUCUCCCGACCCCGGGAGAAAUAUUUAAGUGUUCAGACACCAGGCUGUGGGCAGUUUCCCACACAGUUAAAACUGGUAGUAUGCUAUUCCCACCUAAAGCUAUUCUGUUUAUUUAUAUAUUUGUUUGUUUUGUUUAUUUUCAUCAAAAGACUAUUUAAAUAUUUAUUUAUCAGAUUUUCUGGUCACUUUAGUCUUUAUGUUUGUCAGUAUUUACUGACGUCACUCAGGCCACUUAAGUUGAUUUCUUUUUUUUUUUAGUUCUUUUUUAAAAAAAACUUUCAGUUGUGGUAAAAUGAAAAGGUGGUUGAAUAAAGGUUUGAAUUUGAAUUCAGUGCUUGUGUGUUCUUUAUUAAAAGUAGGUCAUUAAGCAAUAGCAUAAAACAUCCAGGGCUGCAAUUAAAAUAUAUGUUAAAUAAUUAUAAUAAUUAUAUCAAUAAUUAUCGAUAUCGAUCAAUAUGAUUUAUUUUUUAUCGAUAUGCUUUUUUUCUAUAUCGUCCAUGGUGAUUCAGAAUAUGGUCACCCUAUCUUAUUGAUAUUUUUUGUUGUUGCUGAGUCCAUCCUGGAUACUUUAUCUAAAUGAAAACUUCAGCUUAGGGGUUAAAGCGUGCACCACAUGUAUAGAGCUUCAGUUUUCAUCGCUGCUUUCUCAGGUUCAACUCCCUGUUGUUACACUUUAUUGCACCUCAUCCUCCACUCUACACUUUCAGCAUUGCUCGCCUCUCUUCAGCUGCUCCCUCAAUAACAGAAAAUACCCUGAAAGUGUACUCGAGACAGAAAACUAAUGUUGAAUCUCUGAAUUUAUACGUUUUUACAUCCAGAUGUCAGUAACUGUAUAAAAACAUACAUUUGUAAAGCUUCACUGCAGCUGGCAGGGAUGCUGUUGAGAGGUUAAAUUUGAUUGAAACAGUGAAGUUAGAGGCCCAUAAAACCAAAAUGAUGAACCGAAAGGAUUGACAACUACUGUGCGGGAGUUUUAACUCAAAAUCAAGUAAAACGGCCAAACUGCACGGCUAUUUUUAAUGAGGGCGGUUACGCUGUCCCUACCGUAUCUUCAUAUUUCUUUCUUCUGUCUGGUUCAGCUGUAUAGCUCUACAUACACAGUCACACGAAAACACACACUCUCUGUAAUGUAUGUGGAACAGUUUUGUCUUGCUUGGUGGACAUCAAGCUGGCAAUUUAGUCCUUAUAGCAUGCAGAUGGUUGGUGUCACUCCAAGGUAAACCUCUGCUCUGCCAGACAGAGUGCAUACUACCUGCCAGCAGCCUCCGCUCUAUCAUGGUCUAGUAGGAUCCACCAACCCUGCACAGCUAGUAGGCGUCUGCCUAGCAAAUCCGUACACACAGUCUAGUUCCUGUUGUUCCUGUGUCCUCAAACGGCUAGAGAUGAGUAUAAACAAAGCCCAGAAUUCCAGCUGUUUAUUGUUACAGGUACAUGCAGUCAAGGCCUAGCGACAGGGGUGAGAACGCCUCUGUUUAUUUUAUAUCCAGUUCUGAAGUGUGCCUGGAGACACACCGAACAGGAUGAAUAACACAUUUAGGAGGAAAGAAAAGACAAAAAGCAAAAUAAUCAACACUGGAGCAGAAAGACGGAGGGGGUGUGUGGAGGGAAUCUUGGCCGAAUUUUGCAACAGCAGCACAAAAUUGCGAGACCGAAAUGUUAGUAGAAACAUGUCCUUUCAGUGCUUUAUGAAAAAAUAUUUAAGAACUGGGAGAAAUGGAGGGGAAGAAAGGCGAAACGGCUUUGUUUUUGUCUAUGAGAGCUAAAAUGUUUGCCUAGGCGGAGUGCCAGCGCGGAGGACAGCCUGCUGCAGUUCUCCUGUUCUGGUGGGCCCUGAAGCAGAGGUCAGUUAAGACUGCUGAAAUCAAAUCCAGUGUCUCCCACCCACAACAACAAUGUGGCAGAAUGGCCCAGGGGUAAUGACAUGAUUAUGUUGUUGUGUUCUGGGCUAAAUCUAACAAGAAGUUCAGGCCCGGCCCUCACUGUCUCUCUAGAUUACAGAGACAUGCGAGGUCUGUCUGAGCGAAAGCCAGGUGCCUUAUCCUAUCGCCUUGUGUGGCACAGAAACCGCUGAAUUCGCAGAACUUCGGCAAGUCUUGGCAGUCCGGCGUUCUCGAGGAUAUCUCGUAUCCCCUUUCGUGUUUGAGACCUGUUCGACAUCUCUGUCAAACAGCCGCGCAGCGCAGACCUGAUGACAAAAGCAGACUACUACUCCAUGAUGCUGAAGGACCUUUUUUUUUUUUUUUUUAAAUGAGAUUGUUCCUGCACAAUGCAAAUUCAGCAACUCUGACACUCUCCAGCCAAGCUCUUAUGAAACAAAACCAAAUCCUAUUUAAGACUUGGUUACACAUCUGCUGAGAGCAACAUGAAAUUUAACUCCACAUUUGAGGUUAUCUUGAGCAAAUAGGAGAUAAACCUUAAUGAGGGCUAAAGUCUACAGUUGAUACAAAGCUGUGUGAAAUGUUAAACUGAUGCAGGACCUUGCUUAAUCAGAGUGAGCCAUGGUUUUCAGAUGGUAUUUAGAUAUGUAAAGCUAACAAAUGAGGCUUUGCUAUGAUAGUGGCAGGCUCUUAAUGUUAUUUCAGCAGCCAAGUCUGCUUCUUUCUAGUGGUUAGAGGAGCUUAGACAGUUUCCUCAGGCAUGGACUACGCAUAUUUGGGUAUGCACAUUUUCGUCGAAGCGUGUAAUUGCGAUAUUAUUGCCAUGAAAUAUUAGUAUGCAAGGUCCACAGAUUCAGAAAUGUGACAUGGCAGCAGUUUGUCUUCGAAAUAACGCGUGCCUUAAAUUUAAAAUUGAAGUCUCAUUUAGCUGCAUGACUGGAUCCUCUUAAAAGCCGCGCACACGACUCAACCACAGUGUUCAUUUGGACAAACAAAUUAAGAUAAUUCCCAAUGACUGUUAUCAGUUAUCAGAUUGAGACUACCUACAACCACCUAUGUAAACUCAGGCCCAAAUUCUGGGCACAUAACCGUUUUUGUAGAUUAAAUCUACACUCGGCGGUUUAGCCUCUAUUUGUCCUUUUCCCGUUUUCCUACCACCCCACACACCUCUCAGCUCCACAUCAAGGAAUGCAUUUUUUCAGUCACGCCCCUACAAUCCUGACAGGUAGCGACUGCAUGAGAGGACAGCUUGUCCUGCGGAGCUACGCAGGGGCUGCAGGGGCCCAUGUUUGGCUUGGAUGCCAAUGAAUAACAUUGUAUGGAGAGAGGAAAUUAAAAAUGCAGAGUUGUAAUUUACUGGAGAGUGGAACUGAUUUAAAAGCGGGGUUUUUUUUCUCCUCCUCGCCGCUUUGCUUGAAGUUUUCCAAAUAUGCCACAGCUGAGUGUGAACUGAGCUUCGUUGUACAGGCAAUAACAGGGCAGGCCACGCUGCCAGCUCUCUCCACUGUGCCCCCUCUUCUCUGUUAAUUCUUGGCAAAGACAGGAUCAUGGUAAGGUAAGCCUUCAUGAGAUCCAAAUGCUAGACAUGCCUAACUGAUUUCACAUCUCAAGUUGAACGCAGCUUUAUGCUAUCAGGAGAAACGGAGAGGCAUUUCCCCCCACGGUUAAUCCGCGAGUGUGUGCGCCAAGGCGAUGACUGAUAGCAUGAGCAACAUUUUUCUGAUUAUUGGUCUCAUAGUGGGCAUGGGCUGCCUGCUUGUGGUCUCUGUGGGUGGUUCCCUGGUGGGACGCAGGUAACAACAGAUUAAUGGAGUAAUGAAUCUAACUUUACGAGGCAAUCUGGCCCCCAUGAAAUUGAAACGCCUGCCUUUUGUUGCCCAAUUCAAGAGUUCCCCCGAAUCAUAAAAAAGAGAAACGGCAGCAUUUUUUUGUUUCUGCUCUUUUAUCUCCAACGUUUUGUCAGGAGUAAUUCCGACAUCAACCAACGGCAAUGUCAGAAUCACUGAUUUGGACUAAGUACCCAACCCUGGCUAGCUGCUGAGUUAAAGGAAACUGCACUUGGAUAUUUUUUUUACAGCCUUCUCCCUUUAUAAAACCUCAAAUUUGCUGCUGGGUAACUCAACCACUUCCUCUCUUCCUGUGAGAUCAGGCAGUCAGGCAGGGUGAAGCCAAGCAGUGCAGGGGCUUCUGUGGCUAGCAAACAGCUGGCACGGUACUCACUAUACCUUUGGCACCUGUGGGUGGGCGUCAACACAGUUGGCUAAACAAACAAGACCAUCAUCCAGCUCUCACCGCAGCCGUGAACGAGGGGGAUGGCAUCAGAGCGCCACCUAAAGCUUCGGAGGGCUGGAACAAGACAUAGAAGUAGACUAUUUCACAAGCUGACAUGUCAGGACUGGGGUCUGCAGGUUUAAAAAGUAGAUGAUUAGUAGUAUUUUUGUGUUAUUUCUAUUGUUUUGCCAGGAGUCAGAUGUGAUAGUUUCCCUUUUGGUUUCAGUCCUGCUGCUCUCCUGCAGAUGGCGAUGUUGUCCUGAACUGAGCGGUGUCUAAGCAGUGCCAAAGCCUCUCUAUGUGUGAGGCCUUUUUCCUAAUUGGUGACUUUUAACAAGCCUAUGUAAAUAUCACCAUGUCUCCAUCUCUUAUCCACUCCUGGCCUGGAGCCUGAUAUCAAACACUUUGUCACAUGAUGUUUGAAAAUGAGGAGACGGAGGUGACGGGUCAGGGUGAGAUUGGGGAUUUUUAUUUUGGUCUGAGGUGUGGCCAGCUUUCAGAGCUUUUUUCACCCGAGUAAGUUUCUCUCAGAGGGUCCACAUCCAGCGACAGAAAGGUAAACUAGAUGAAUGAAGUGGCGACUGAUCUGUUUGCCUAAAACAAACUCAAACUGGAAAUGUGCCUUAGUUACGGUCACAUGGUAGACGUUAGGGCUGCUGGGGCGCACACCAUCACCACCGGCGGAAUUUUCCUAAAACAAGACACGAAAAUUUGAGGGCCAGAUAGACAGAAUCGAAACGGGUGAGGAGAGAAGGGGACCCUCCAGAGAGGAGUGAAACUUUCCAAAGGUUGACUGUGUUUAUGUGCGGCUGGCAGGGCCUAAAAUUGAGUGAAGGGUGCCGGGGAAAACAGACUUGUCGCAGCAUCUCACAUAUCAUCACAGCCUGUCCUUAUUACUAUCAGUUCAUCUUCUACCUCUCUCAGUGCCUCCCUCUCUCAGUCCCGCCUUUGCUCUUCUUUUCUCACACCCCAAAUGUGCUGAUGUGCAUCCUGGAAAGGAAGGCACGAAAAAGGCCUGGAGGGCACGCCUGGGAAGAAGCCAGACUUCCCACUUUAUCCCCCCUAUUCACAACCUCCCCCAUGAUGACACAGCUUUUCUUUUCCUUGACAUGAGCCCAGAACAAUAGUGGACAAAGCUGAAUCACUACAAUAAUAGCUCGUUUCACUGCGGCUAGAAUAGAGCUGUAAGUGGAAAGAUCUGCAUCAGAGUAUUUUUUGUUUUUUGACAGACGUUCAUUUAUGUUGAAUAAACUUGAUUUACAUUGAUAGAUCACUUUAAAGAUAGGCAAACCUUUCCAUGACUUUCAUACAAAGGCCACAGUGUAUCUUAUGUCACCAUCGCCUCAUCUCCAUCAGCACACAGACGUUUACUCUUCAGCUCUCGGCCUCCGGUAUGACAGGCACACUUGGAACUUUUGUAUAUGAUAAACUAUGUGAUAGGUGACCCCCACCAACCCCCUCUCCACCUUUUCCUCUUUCUUCUACCUCUUCACAUGCCCUUAUUUCUCUCCUCUUCUCGGAUUUCUCCCUCUUCCCUUCAAGCGUCCCCCCCAGCCUCAAACCCAAGCUGCUGGCUGUCUGCCCACAGUCCAGGAUGUGAGUGCCCAGUGACGCUGUGUGAUCCCCGGGGAUGGGGAACCAGCAAGGGGGGCUGCUGAUGGUGGUCAAACACUGAAUGAGCUGAGCGGCCGCAGGAGAAACCACAGUGUGCGUUCGUGUGUUGUAGCGUGUGCGUUGGUGCGAACCCUGAUCCCGUGGGUCAACAUACUGUGUCCUGCAGAUCUAAUAAUGGCCGAGCACACACUCACACACUCACAUUGUGUUUUUGGGGUCUGUUCAACAGCUCACACGCAUUAACCCGGGCAGCGCUGUUGAAAGCAUUAUAUGCCCAGUAACUCUGAAAAGUGAGCCAUUUGUUAGAAGAAGCUGUCAUAAAGAGAUUCCCUCAUCUAAUAAUGAGGUUUGUUAAGUUUGGCCAAACAAGGCCACGGCUGCACACUGCGGUGAAGCUUGACCACUAAGCCGAACACUAGAGGGACAAGUGCACAAUCAAAGCCGAAAAGGGUCUUGACUUGUAAUGAACUGUGCUGUGGGGACCUGUUAGUUCUUGCUCUGGCUUAGAGCUUUGAAACCAAUGAGACAAAGUGUAUUAACUUAGGGCUGGCCGAUAAACCGAAAAUUUACUGAUACCGAAAUUUAUGACAGGAACCAACAUCAUUUUGCCUAUAUCAGGGUUUUUUCUAUUUCUUUUUUUACUAUUUUUACUUAAACAAGAAGAGUACAAGAUAAACAAAGAUAGAUACAAAAAAAGUAUAUAAACAAUAUUAAAAAUCCCAAAAACAAGGAUAAGGCAGGGCAUGGGGGGAUGAAUAAAUAAAAGUUUGUUUUGGAUGUGUGUAGGUAGGAUAUGGUCUCAUGUCCCUUUUAAGUCAGAGACAUGACGCCACCCCCUCCAGUCAGUAACAAAGAGGGAAAGACAGGUGAGGAGAUGGAGGACAGUUCAAAAGUUGUAGCGGCUGGAGCGGUGGCUAAAGUAGGUGACGUUAAUGUGGUAGGGGGUUAGCAGCUUGUGGAGUAGUUUUUGUCCAUUUAUCGUUAUCCAGGUAAACUGCUCAAUAUAUCAUGAUAUUGAUUUGAGGCCAUAUCGUCCAGCCCUAUAACAGAUAAUCCUAAACUGAUACUCUAUAAACUCUUGUAUGUGUUCCCUUACAUGGAAAAUAUAGUUUUCAGUGGAAAUCUAAACUUGUUUAAAAUUAAAUAAAAGGGCUUUUUUAGAUUUGUGUAUUUACAUCCAAUCUAGAUAAGAAAUCUUUCAUAAAAAAUCAACAGAAUCAGUGUAGAGAUUUCCAAGAAACACAACCCUUUAUGCAGAGUUGUAGGAGGUUUUUCUGUAUUUUAUGAUCAUGGCUCGGUAGAUCCUGAGCUUGGAGGUGAUAAUUCGAAACCACAUACUAUGAAAUCAAUGCAAGUUAUAGACAUUCAUUCACCGCUUUUACAACAGCUUUUAGAUACCAUAACCACACAUCCAUGUUUACAGUGGAUUUGUCCUGCUGGUGGAAGUGAGAAUGAGAGAAAAUUUACAGAUAUCAGCUUUCGUUUUGUUGUUAAAUCGUGCGAGUGUGUGUUUUGUGUUGCUCUGAUGCGAAAAAUAUGUGGAUUUUAGCAAACACACUGCUCUGAUAUUUUUAGAGGUUUGUGUGCGCUUUCGAAGUGAUGUGUGAGUGAUUUGACUCCCUGUAAACGACUGCAGGGCUGUUGACUUGUAAAAACUACGUUAUGAGUGUCGUUGGGGAGAAAAGGCUUUGUUAGCAAGCUGUUGCUGUCCAUGUUCAACCCUUGAACAUGUAGAGAGUUCAGAGUGAGAGGAAUUUUAUCGCCAGUUGAAUAAAUUAUAUAUUAAAUUUUCAGAUUGAAUGGCAAUUUUAUCCAAAGAUUUAUGAAUAUUUGCAAAUGGGUCAGAGCUGCAACUAUUUCAGUUGCAUAAGCUCCCAACCUUAAAAAUAGAUUUCAAUAUUUAAGGAGCUGCAAUUACUUGUUGUGGUGCAGCCUCUUUUCCAUUGCCCUGCAGUAACUGGUGGUUGAUGAGAAAUUUCUGCUAAGACUUGCAGUGUUAUAUCACUCAAGAGCAUCAUGCGCCACUUAGCAGGCAUCAGGAAUCAGUCUUCCAAAUUCAAGCUCACAUAACCGAUCAAGUUUAUCAGUCAGUGCUGAUUUGGGGGUGGUUGAUAUAAGCCUUCAGUCACUCUCUUUUACCUGGUCUCAAUGGCAUGUGACACAGAGAUUACAAGUGAAAAAAAAAAAAAAAAGAGCUGAAGAGAGAAUGAGGCGAAUAACGGUAUUUCGUUUGUAGAUGUGGUGGAUGUAGAUGCACCAGUAGCAAAAUAGGUGCACAGUUCUUGGAGAGUGGCUGAAAAAUGUCAUUUGGUUAUAAAAAUGGCACAAUAAACUGUUUUCAUUGUAUAGACUGUGGGACUGAGGUUGCAGGUAACAUAACAUUUGCAACAGAUCCAGGCAUUAUGUUUCUCUUUUUAGCAUUCCUAAUUUAGAGUUAAUUCUGUCAUAGAAAAAUUAGAGAGGUCAUGGAAUUUGGAAGAUGUCAUUUCCAGGCAUGGGAAGGUUUUGGAAAGGUUUGGAAAAGUCCUAAACCCAGAAAGUAUAAGGACAGUCAUGGAAAGUAUUUGUAUAAAGAAUGUAUGUAAUUGAGUUGAGGUUGACUGAGAAACUUUAUACUGGUGUAACAAUGUUGUAAUGGCAUAUCAACAGGCCUCUACCUUCUCCCUGUCGUAAAAAAGCCCAAAUACCACCUCGGCUGGCACUGACAUGGCAUGAGUAUUCACCUGCAUGUGCAUACACAUGCUGCAUUGUUCGACAUCAAGUCUCACCAGGAUGCUUAAAGAUUUACCACAAAACAUGCAUGUUUUCAAGGUGCUUGCAGGGAUAUUAGGCAAGGCGAGUUUAUUUGUAUAGCACCAUUCAUACACAAGGCAAUUCAAAAUGCUUUACAAAUGCAAGGAAAUACAUAGAAAAAUGAAAAAAGGAGAGAUUAAAACAAUUUACAAUCAAAAAGACAUAAAAUGAUUUAAAAUCAAUACGACAAACUGAUAUUUUUUUCUUUUUACGUCUGUUCCAUGUUUGCCCUGAACAUCUCAGAAAAAUUAGAUAAGUCACAAGCUUUCAGGCUCCCCAGAUGUCAACUGGUUUUCUCAACCGCAAAUGCAAGUGAGAAUUCCAAAUUCAAAUUCAACUUUAUUUUUAUGGCCCUUUUCAGACAAAAAAUGCAGUUCAAAGUGUCUCACAGAGGCUAAAAACAACAAUUAACAACAAUAAAAUCCAACCCUCCCACCCACACACACACCCAUGGACCCACAUGCACACAAAGGCACACACCCACAAACACACAAGCGCACACACACACACAACCGCACACAACUGCACAUAAUGUGAGCGUUUAAGAUAUAUUGUUAGAGAGACAUGGUCUGACACCGAGACAUUAUGUGAGGGAAGAGCUACCUUUGGGAAACACUGGAGAUAAAAGAUAAAAAUGGUGAAAGGAAAGACUAAAACCUAAAGGACUAAAACACCAUUUUAAAAAGGGGUAAAAGAAGUAAAAACCUCCAAGAACAGAGGUAAUUAAUAAAGUGACAUAAAAUAAACAAUAAGAACUUUGAUUAAAAUGAACAUUUGCAAUAAAAGAAAUAUAAAAAUGCAAUUGGUAAAAAGCCUGGUGAGUCUUGAGCCUCUUCUUAAAAACAUCAACGGUCACUAUGGCUUGACAGCUUGUUUGACAUGUAAAAAAAUUGAGGAGAAGACAGAAACAAGCUCAAACUGUAAGAGACAUCUAUCUAAAAUACACCCAGAUAAGUAGUGGAAAUAUUAAAUUACUUGGACAGUUGAUAUUGUUGCUGUUAGCUAGCUGCCAGCCAAUGUAAGGGGUUCAGGAGAGACGUGCUGCAAUAACAGAUCAUUUGUAAAACGUAGAAAUAGUGAGUUAUUUCGUCAUUAUUCUUAAAAUCUUAUUAAAUACUGACUAACACAAUCACAUUCAGCAUAUUUCUUAUAACCAGAAAGCCCAAAAUAUUUAUAAUAUGAAUGAGUAUUGAGAUUAUCUAUUCAUCCCAAAAUCAACACAAGUCUCAAUCAAAUGAAGAAUAACUGGUCGUCUUGGCGCUUCACUCUCUUCCUCUGUAUAGUCAGCAUCGGUUCACGAUGGUUUGACAGUAACCGCUAAAGAGUCAAACACAGUCCCCCUUUUCUCCUGUGUCAACACCCCUAAUCUUGGGGGUUGGUUGUGGAGGGGUAGCGCCGGUGGUUUGACCUCUUGUUGUAUUAGUCCUGACAGGUUUUAACAGGAUUAGAACCCCUCAGCCCGCUUUGGAAGAACAACAGAGAGAAAGUGGGAGAAAUCAGGAUACAGAGAGGUUGUGCUUGUCAUAAUACACGUGUGCGAAGUCGACUGGGUUAAAGUUUGACACACCAAAGGCCUGGUAGGAGUUUGUGUGAGUAUGUAUAGUAUGUAUGCAUUCAUGUGUACAGAAGUUUCGGCAGAAUGUGGUGAACAGACACUCACAUGCUGUUUGUUUUUAUAAUUGCGUUGUGGGACGCCAUCGCCUCCCUGCCCCUGCUCCCAAAUGUCAAACAAGAUUAUUUGGGUUGCCCUCUUCUCUUCUUAAGUUCUGACGACUGAGCGGUAUAAAAAAUGACUAAGCCUAUAGCUUCCCCAAGUGACUCACAAACGCACAAAGAGAGUCCAAUUGCACGCACAUUCAAAACCUAACCGAGACUAAAUUUUAACCCCAAUCCAAAACAGAAAUAAAGACGCGAAACCAUAACAAAUGGAGUUUUUGAAAACAAAGGAUCCACUAUUUUCAGUACAAACAUAUGCAGGAAAGACUGUUCCUCUUCUUCAAUGACCGAAACAAAGACUCCUUAAAAAUAUUCUGCUUUGGUUUUGAGUUUGCCGAAAGAAAUUGGAUUGGGGUUCAAAGCUCUUUCACUGAAGGUCUUCCCAGUACAACAAGAACCAUGCAGCUUGAGAAAUAGCACAUGGCCGGAGAAAAGAAAACAUACUAAGUGUGUGAUUAAAAGUGUGGCUGGUUAAUGUACUAGAAAUCCAUGAAUGUGCACAGGCUUGUGUAAGUUUGGAGUAAGUUAAUAAUCUCAGCAGGUUCCUGGUGUUUACAGGUUGAAGCCUCCUGAAAGGCUCUUCAAGGGCAGGACUUGAUAUAUACGGCCUGUUGAUUUAUUUAUGAUAAUCUGGAAAGUGCAUCAUGUGCGCUCACUAUUGAAAGCAGCGGGCCGUAGUUUAGAGGCCAAAUUCAUUCGCAAGCGUACUUUUCCAGGCCAGGAGCAAAGUGAGGGUGAUCAAAACGCAUGAUUUAAGACAGGGGGACAUCAACACCACCAGGAAGAGAUGAAGCCCAACUCUGAGCGUACAGUAAGAAGUCUCGGGGUUGGAUGUGUUUGUGUUUGUAGUUCAGGUUAAUUUUAAACUCCACUCUGUGACAGGUUUGAAAAAUUUCGCUGAAAAAUAUCCCACCGUAGAGAGUUGACAUGUGACACAUUACCCCCAGUCAGCCAUAAAUGAAGUCGCAUCCUAUUAGCCCUCCCCGGAGAUGGAUCUUUUUCCUCAGUUUGUGUGUGUUGGUUGGCUCGCUGUGGUGCUAAGUCAGAGUCCAGACACCUGGAGAGAGGGGAGCAUGAAAGAGGGUUAGAAGCGCAGUUGUUACAGUGCGGGGAGAGGGGAGUGUAAAGGAGGAUAGAGAAUGAAAAGUCUGCAAGAAGUUGUAGCUGUAAAUCAGCCUUUUUUUCCAGUCUGAGAAAGGCAGAGAAUCUGUGCGCAUGAUUUAUUGAGCCUUUAAAACCCAGGGAGGUGGCAUUUCACACGGCAAAGAGUUACAAAUAGAAGGGCAUUAACCUCUACCUGAGGCUGUCAGACGAUACAGCUCUCCCCUUUACAAAGAGAAACACCUCCAGGACUGAGAAAUGAGCUCCAGAAGUUAUAACCGCCUGUAAAAGUGCGAUUUUCUAUACAGUCAGCGGUAGAAAAAAGGGCUUCACGCAGCGCUCUGUCAUCACCUGUUUGGUUAAGAUGUGCCUUUUUUCUUUAGGGGCUGUUGGACAGGUUUCUCGACCUUUUAUGUCAGCUUCCUCGGCAUAUUUCAUCCUGCUGAGGGUAGAUGUCCUCAUGAAAAUUAAAAAUCUGCAGAGCUAAAACGGCCUGUGUGUUCCUAAUGAUGAAAUGAGGCGACGGAGAAACAGCAACAAAAGUGAAAGUGAUAAAUUCAACAGCUACGCUGUGAAAACACAUCAAACUGAAAAUCUCUUUUCCAAACAUUCCAGGAUCAUUUGAGCACCUUUGCAUUUAUUUGUUUUUUAAUUCCUACUCAUGCAUUUUAAUAGAUCCAUUACCUAUAAAUAUCCGUACAUGCACAGGGACGUAUCCUUACCGGGGACCAAAAAUAACAAGCCCAGGAAGGCUCAGAUAGAAGGGGCUGUGUGUUCAUUAUGAUAUGCUGCCUUCAAUUGCCACAUUAAUUAAGCAGCUCCAGGCAGCAGUGGCAGGAUGACGGACAGGCCAAGUCACUGGAGGCCUGUCUGAUAGUCUGCCAACUCAAGGCCUUGCUGUCCGGACGCUGAUUUAUGGACAGAGCCAGGAAUCGGAAAAGUGUCCAGGAGCCAUAUUUUUAGUGGGUGGUAGUGCUGUGCACAUGUGCAGGGGCUCGAGCCAACCCCGUGGGACCCCAUUCAUCUCUCAUCACUGCCAUGUCGAUAACAUCCUCCUCUAUAUGAUACACACAUCCCAGUUUGCACACACACACACACUCUGAGGGACCAGGUCUGCUUCCUACAAGUGGAGUCACAUAAAUACACAGACUUUGUUUAGAUGACACCAGGUCCACGGUGGAGUCUUUUUGUAACCCUUUUGUGAGUUUGUGAUUCGCGGAUGUUUAACAGGAAGUUAUUGAGCAGUGUAUAAAGCCCGGUUUCCUUCCUGCUCAGACAGCAGUGUAAUUUUGGUGGUGUUUUAACAGCUCCACAGCUCCCUCUGUUUGGCCUCUUUUCCUCGAUAUUUCUUCCUCAUGCCUCCCUCGAAUCCAUCGUAAUCCCCACUUGUGCUAAGUUAAAGAGAGGAGAGGCCGUUUUCGUGCCAGCUGUCCCUUGAUGUAUUCUGGUCAUCAACUGCACAUGUGCGAAUAAUGCUUUUCUGCACUCAUUUGAAUAUCAGAAUGGCUGAUUAUGACGGUGGCAUGCGUGAGCACAACCCUUCAGGACCAGAGACGAAAGAAAGGAUGGAAAGAUGAAAGGAGGCUGAAGUUAAAAGCUUUGAGCCUGGCAUAUCACACAUACACGGGCCUUAAGAACUCAGUAAACAAUGUUAAUAAGAUGGUUAGGAUAUUCAGCAGGAGAGUCCAGAUAAAUAAUUGAAUAAACGACCACAGGCUCAUAGUCUACACUCGUUUUUUAAAUCUGUGUAUCAGUUUAUUCUUCGGGACUCCUAGAAUACACUUAAGGCCUUAGGGAUUGCACGACUUCUGUGCCUACUUAACCUGUGCAAAUGAGCCACAAAAGAAAUUGUUCACAAAGUGUGCGGCAGAAAAAAAUAACAUCUGUGUACCCAGUGCUAUUUGCAUUCAUUUCAAAUUAGCUAUUGUGCAUCCAUUUGAGGCAAAACGUGCCCUUUUCUUUACAAAUAAGCCUCAUUGCAAAAAAAAAACACCUUGUACACAGGAACUUUUAUGUCUGCUAAGAGAUGGUAGGAAAAUUGUUAAUAUUUACAAAUUUUCUGGUGAUAAAUUCCACGUCAAGAUGACCUAAAAAUCUCAUAUCUGUACAAGACAAUCUACUUUGACUUAACUGUUUCUAUGAUAAUCGGCUUCAGGAAGAAAUGUGGGUAUAAACACUAAAAGCAGUGUUGUUUUCAUUGACGAUGACGUUGAUGAAAUAUUUUCGUCAACGUCGUCAACAAAAACAACACUGGUGCUGCGAGAUAACCACAAUAAACAGUUCCUCAGGGUCAAUAACAGUUUUUAAUUCCGCUCUCUUCUCCUACUCUUCUCUUCACUCUGUGCAGCUGAACUGUCAGGAUGCUAAAUGCUAACCUUACCCGGCUGACAGUCUGUUGAGCACAAGAUGUUUAGUGUUUGACUGACGAAAUACUCAUGAAUUUUGCAACUCUGUUCAUCGUACACCACGAACGUUUUCGUCUAGUCUUGUCAACAUAAACGCACAUUCGUCUCGUCACAUUUUAGUCGUCCAAGACUUAUGUUUAGCUCGUCAACGUCACAUCUUCGUUGUGGAAAAAAAGGGGCACUGACUAAAAGAAAUCUGUUGGUGUUUUUGUGCUUGCAUACAAUUCACUCUAUUUGCUUUGAAUUAAAGAGAGAACAAAUCUUGGUGCUAUUAGCAGCAGAAAUCCAUCCCUGAUGAAUCAGGCCUUGAGUGUUUGGCAGUAUAUAAUUUGGCUUUAUUCUUUCAGUGUGCUAAGGAGUAGGAAACUAUUUCAAUGAUUGUCUGGUCAGUUUUUUUUAUGUCACACAGUUGCUGGUGUACUGUACAUCCUGGUGAGUCCACGCUUCCUCAAACUCAUCUACUUUAUAUAUCUUUAAGUAUUAAGAUUUCCAUUUCAUACCCAACUUACGUCAUCAACAAGCGCACGACUUUGCAGCUCAUGGCACUCAAGUGAUAUGCACUUCAGCUCAUUCUUUUUGCUGUAUCUGUGCAGCGAUAUUAAACCAAACUUGUUGUUUCUGCAGCGAUGGCUUUGUAAUGAAAAGAAGCUGAUUGGAAGCAGUGUUUCCCACAGAUUGAGACUUGAGUUGAUGUGAAGUGGCAUCUACCACCAUGAGUGGAUUAUGAGCAAAUUCAAGAUUGUGAGAUGUUUACAUGAGCUUGUUUUCAUUGCAAACCAAUUACAAUUGAAUAUGAAGAAGUGUUGACAUCAAUAAUUAUUGGGAAACGAAUUACAACAGAUGCGUCAGGAUAACUCCAUACUGGAGAACUGAACGGACAAAGAGCAGGCUGUAACACAACAAUCAAAAACAUGCACACUAUUGGAACCCAUUAUCAAAAUCUUACAUAACAUUAAGGGAUCAACAGCACACUAGGAUCCAGAAGUGCACUGUGGACAGGGAUGUCUGGAGAGGUUCAAAACUAGAGAAAAAACAACGGUUGGGUCAACCAAGGUGCUACUCCAAAAUCUUGGCUUAUGGUUGACAAUUUUCCUUGUCAGAAGUGGGAUUUAUAUUAAAAACAAUUAUUUAAACUGUGUUCCAACAAGCUGCUGUAUGUUUCCAAUGCAUUUAUCUUUGACAGACUCUCUUCAAAAGGUUGCAGCCUACUGUAAAAUGUUAUUUGGCAUAUAUAGUCUAUGCCUUUUAGUAGGGCUGGGAGGAUAUGCUUUUUUCCUGAUUCGAUUUUUCUACAGUUUUUUGGAUGCCAAUUCGAUUUAAAUUGCAGUUCUACGAUAUGAUCGAUUUUCUCGAUCUUUAGUCUGCAUUUUUUACACCAGUAAAACAGUUGAAUGAUUAUGAUUGUCUACAGACUAUUUCAGGAACCAUGUUUCCCCAAAAAAUACACAUCACAUGUGAGUCAUUUUUUAAGAUUUAUUCUUAAAUUUGAAAAAAUCGAUUUUUGAACAUAAAAUCGAUUUACAUUGUAAAACAAAAAAUCGCGCCACUAAUUUACAAAUCGAUUUUUAUCUCCCAACCCUACCUAUUAGGGCUGGGCGAUAUGGCCUGAAAUCAAUAUCACGAUAUAUUGAGCAGUUCACCUCAAUAACGAUAAAUGGACGAUAACUACUCCACAAGCUGCUCACCCCCUCCCACAUUAACUUCAUCUACUUCAGCUGCUGCUCCAGCCACUACAACUUUUGAACCAUCCUCCAUCUCCUCACCUGUCUUUCCCUCUUUGUUACAAACUGGAUAGGGUGGAGUCACGUCUCUGACGUAGGACAGCAUCUUAAAGGGACAUGGGACCAUAGCCUACCUACACACAUCUGAAACCAACUUUUAUGUAUUUAUUUUUUUGACAUCAGUAAUUGUCGUAAAUUUCGGUAUCUGUAAAUUUUCGGUUUAUCGCCCAGCCCUAAUGCCUACGCACCAGAUGAAGCAGGGCCUUACUUUCCCUCUUAUUUAUAAAACUAUACACAGUAGUAAAGGCAGUAUCUACAGGUGGACUUCUAGCACCGUGAUUUCUUAUUAAUAAAAUCUUAAAAGACUGACCUUUGUCACACAUUGCCUAUAAUGUCUUCAAAAGACAAAAAAAGGAGGCCGAAUUAUAUGUUUCGCAGCACUACAUUUAUCAUGCUAAAUCAACAUUUGGGAGUCAUCUGAUCUCAACGUAUAGAGAAAACAGAAUGGUAAUGUUGCGGUGAUCGAAACACGCUGCAUUUUUCAUCAGUGUCAGAUAGCUGCAAGUGACAGGAGGCUGGAAACUGGCGGGAGCACUUGGCUCUGUCACUGCACAGUAAUGGCCAGAUGAAAUGUAUUCAUGCAUGCGGAUCUGCUGCUGCUGGUUCUGCUCACAAUAUGUUGCUAAACCAGAUGCUGUUUGCUUGUAUUUGAUUUCCCCUUUCCACCUCUUGAAAACAAAAAUGAAAAAUGUAACCUAAAUAAAAGUCAAGAUAAAUGAUAACAAAUACUUGCUAGCGCACAAAUACUUGCUACUGAAGAUAUACAUCUCACAUUAAUGGUGGAGCAUGUGGUACCAGGCUGCUUUGGAAAAUAGUAACUGCUUGAGUUUCUUUUACACAAACAUGGAGCAAAAUUCAAAUAAAAUAAUUUUUGCCAAGCCCAAUUUAAAUAAACCAUGUUGAUGCGAUAUCAGAAUAAGCCAAAGAUCUAAUUGAACCCAGCUCUCAUAUUGACAAAUGAACACAAAAAAGGAUGCUGACUUUAUUUCAUUUGCCACUGGGAUGGUGCCUCUUUAAGAUUGAAAACCGCAAAUUGCUCUCAACAAUUCCUAUACCUCUGGAGUUGACCACUUUAAAAUUGGCCCGUUCAGAGAUUAUAAAUAAGGCUAUUUGAUGGCUCUGUUAUUACGCCUGAGAGAGGGGGGAGAGGGGGAGAGGAGAGGGGAGGGCUUGUGGCUGUAAGGCCGGAUGGUUUCUCUUGAUGUGGGCGAGAGCUUUGAGCUUCCACACCACACGCUUCUGUGCUCUGCAACAGGAAAAACACAGGAGAUCACUUCCAAAUGAAAAUGCACACACACACUCACACACACACACACACACACACACACACACACACCCUCCAUAUGCAGACGAUGGAGCGAAGUGAUACAGAAAAUAAACAGCUUGUUCCUCUAUGCCGCACAAUGCAAUAAGUGUUAAACUGAUGACAACACAGCCUCGCCUCCAAAAUAGAAGCUCUAUAAAUUAUGUUUACAUUUAACCAAAAUGCGCCCCGCUGAUCUAAUAGUCCUGAAUGAUUGAUUUGGCUUUUUUAUUGAACCCUUGAACUCCGACAGAGACAAAUUUAAUUCCUGCCUUCAUUAAAAGACAGUUAAGUUCGGCAUCUUUAUCCUCGGUUUACCUAAAAUGAGUCACCCUCUCUUUUUAGUCAUAAGGCACAUAUGUAUUUUGUUAAAGCGUAUUUUGUCUUUCUAUUUGUGUCUUCAGAGCACACACGCAUGCGUGGGUAUGGGAGUUACAUUAGGCCACAACAGCAAAGGCCAGCAGGAGGCUUGUAUGCAUCAUAAGUCUUUAUUGUCCCUGGUGAGCAGCAUUUCCAGUAAACAGGGCCGUUACGGUGGCAAAGUUCCCCAUUUAUGUUUGUGUGCUACGAGGUCAAGAGUGGAGUCUCGCAGUCAAACGGUGAAUGGCAAAAAAGUAAAUCCCGCAGCAGGAAUCCUUAACAAUCUCGUUUUAACAAGAACCUUGGCUUGUUUUCUCUCUCCCCCUUCUUCCUCUCCGAUCCUUUUGCAUCUGGCCAACUCACCAGUACACACACACACACACACACAUCUCUCCCCCUCUUCCCCUUGCUGCGGGUAGCUGCUGCUAGGCUGACUCAGCCCAUCCGCACUAUUCUUGGGCCCUGACGAACGGUGUUGAUGUAGCCUGUCUGAUGGCCACACGCCAUAAACCAGUCUUUGUUCCGCUGGCCACUUCUGCUGAGCCGCUCGCCCUCGACUCUCCUCCCAGAGCUGCCGCUUGACCGACCAACCGACCAAUUGAUGAAGCGUAAGCAAACCGCUUAAGAUCAACAAAAGGAGUUUAUCUUUCACUAAGAGAGUGGGCCACAGUAGUGAAAUGUGAUACCCCUGACUACUGCAGAGGCCUAACAUAAAAAUAAAAAUGACCGCAAGUAUCCCACUGUGUUCCCGUGGCCUUUUGGGUCAAGAGGAUGUGUGAGGAUGUGCUUUAUUGGUAGCCUGGGGGCGAUGAAAACCAUUAAUCACUUAAUUUGCUUGGACACCAGAGAAAUUGGGCUUAAUCCAAAAUUUCCUGGGACAGAGAGAAACUUUAGUACCUCUGAGCGAGGCCUAAGAGGUCUGAGAGUAAAUAAGAGGGUUGAUCUUUGCCAUCACUUUGUAAUGUGGUUUAUUAUCAGACACACACGCAUUCGACAGUUCUCACGACCGCAGUCUUAACACUCAAACACACGGCUACCCAUCUUGGAGCUUUUACCCCCUCUUACUUUCAGUGUCUCUUUCUCACAGGGGGCAAUAUUCCUCAUUCCUUAAAUCCAGUCAAAUAAAUAUGGUAAUAAACACGGGGCGAGAGGAACGGUUAGGCAUGUGCAAACUGCCUGUCUACCCUGUCGUCCAUUAAGAUGUGAGAUAAAUUCAAAGCAUGUCUGAUAUUAGCGUGCGGCGGUAGGACUCAAACUCAAACCAUCUGUCAGUGUGUAAUCACGCAACACGCAGAGCGAGGGAAGGGUGAAAGGUAUAACCAUCGCCGUGGAAAGGCACACGCUGCUUAUUACGGGUGUUGAGAGAGACAAAAAAGGGGACUGCGGCACCCCUGAAUACGGCGAAACCAUCAUCAUAUUAUCACGUCUGAUAGGGAAGCUCACAAAAGGGACAAAGAGACCUUUAAAGAUUAUCUCCCUAGCUUUCUACAAAAGCAGAGAGAGAUCUGGAGUUAGGAAGCUCCCAAGAAGAAUGAUUGAUGGGAUGCCAGAGGACAAAGAAUAGACAGUAUAGAUUGAGUGUGUGAGAGAGAGCUACACAGGGAGAUGCUGACAGAAAGUGUUGAUCUGAAGGCAGAGAUCAGGACGUGUGUAUCUGGUCUCUCUUUUUCUAUGACCCACAUGUCUAGAAGUUUAGAGAGAGAGAGAGCGCACACACACUGAUCUAGCUAGCAUCGCUCAUCAGUCAUCUCUAGACGCAGACGCUGCUUUUUGAUAGCUGACAUGGCCGCCAUCAGCUGGAUAUUGGAAAAAAGCGAGGAAAGGGCCGAGGAGUUUUGAAAUCUUACGCUCCGAGUGAAAGUAUAACCAACUUCAGCAGAUUGUGUGGAAUGUUUGAAAAGGAAUGCAAUCCUUAAAAUAAGAGCCACAGACUACUUUUAUCAGUUAUAUAAGGCUUAACAGAUGCCAACCACUAAUCUAAUGAUGAAUAUCAAGUGCAGACUUUGUCAAAAGCUUUUAUAUUGAAGGUGUUGCGAUUUUAGCAAAUCUCCAGAUCAUUUUACCUCCUGAAAUUGAAGGAGCUCGAGUUGCUGGUCAUAAUAAAUUAUGUCACAUAAAUCAAUCCUCUGAAAAAGAGAGAAAAAAAAAAAGCGGUGGAAGAAAAUCUCCAUUCAUGAUGGGAAGAAUGAACGCAUUGUCUGAGCAGCACUGUACUUCACUGUAUGGCGUUGUGCGUUAAAGAGACAAAUCACCCCGGGCUUUCAUGAGCGAAGCAUAGUGGGAGGCCAAGAUGAAUACAGUACAUUUCCCCUCUCUGUUUCCCUCUCAGCUAAAACAUAGCAAUUAAAAAGUCCCCAUAGAAGCCUGAGCUCGGAGGAGCCAGCAGCUCAGUGAGAGACAAAGAGCACGGCCUCUGCUCUAAUUGAAACAGGGCCUAAAGUCUAACGGCAAUACCCACAUUUAUUUAUUUUCAGCCAUUUAACAUGUCUGAGAUCUUUGUCUCGGGAAGCUAAUUGCUUCUUCCGACAGGAAGACAGUGAGUCAAUGGGUAGUUUAUGUACAAAGAGAUUUUAAUCUGAUCCCCCCUUCUUGUUUGCAGCCCCACGGAUUCAGCAGAAAAUAUGGAAAGUAUGAGAGUCUUUCCUCGGUGUUACAACAAUACAGGAUAAUCCCUGACUGUUUUACUAAUGUCAGUAAAUAUUUAAACUCAUCGCCUGGGUGUAAACUUUUACUUAUUGCUCCACCAGUAGAGAGGACUUUGUUUUGUUGUUGCUUUCGCAUCUCUCCAGUCCAUUACAUCAUGAGAUCAUUUGUUUGGAAGUUUGAUUAGGGGUCUCAGAAAAUCCACAAAAAUGCACAAAAUUGUCCGUACUUUUUUGGCCUGGCACAUACUGUAUAACGCUGAAAAAAAAAGAGGAGGCAAUGGGUAAAAGGAAUGUAAUCAUGGUGUAUCCAUGGAUGUCGGUGCACUGAGAAAUCCCUUUCGAUGAGUCUCCCAGACCACUCCAGUAAAGUAGAAAAUGGGAAAUGUUAUACUUUCUCUCUCAUCGACCACACACUCACUUGACCAGCUGAGUAACAGAGGAGCAGAGGCCACUUAUAGAGUAACUAGAGCUUUUGAUUUCUUUGCCCCCUCCCCUUCUUUUACAUUUUUCAUACCGUCUGCAUUGAAAACCCUUUUUAAGGAUGUCUGCACAAAUCUCUAAAUGUGCAUGAUUUGAUUUUCCUUGCUGAGUUAAAUGAACGUCAGGUGAGCAGAGAGGAAGAAACCAGAGACAUGGUCACUCGCUCUCGACUGAGCACAUCUGUCUGCCAGCUGUGCAUAUGUUUACACCUGACCCUAGCCAAGUCACCGUCUGGGUUGCUCCCUCGUGCUUCCCUUUGCUUUACCUCCAUCCCCCCUUCUCCCGCAGGUUUUCCUUCCUACUGUCGAGGAAAUUCUUUAGCCCCAGCUACUGCAGCAGUACUCGGCUUUUAACCUCAAUCACACUGACUCCAGAAAGAAGGUCUUUCAGAGCUACCACAAACUCAGAAAAUUGGUCAGAUUCAAAGAUGAUUAAAGAAAUCAAAGCAAACUGAGGUUGUGCGAAACUUUUGGCGAAGACCUUAGCCAGCAAAUGGUGGAAAAACCGUGAUGGGAUGGGACAGAUUUCAAAGAAAAUGCUAUUUCAUGGUGGUCAUACGUGUCAUGGCUCACAUAUGACUGAUACAGAAAUUACUGCUUCUUUCUCCAUAAACACUCGUAUUGCAUCAUGUGCUUCUGCUUUAGCAAACAAUACGAAAAAUAUACCAUCAUGUUCUCAGACAUUUCGGUCCUUUCUUUAUCCAAAUGACGCCGUUUUGAAGAGACAAGUGUUUACACUCGCGCGGACAUGGGGAAGUCUUGGUUUGACUGAUUGCUAAACAACGCUAAUCUGCAUGAUAAAAAGGAGCAUUUAAAUCAGCGCUCGAUAAACACGAGGCAGGGAGUCACCAGAAGAUGGACUUUGAUACAAAGGGGGUUUUUCCCUCAUCUUCAUCUUUGCUGUUCUGUAGGUGGCCGACCACUCCGCUAAGUUUGGAUUGGAGUGAGACUUUGGUUUAGAGAAAGACUUGAGGUUGAGCUGUCAUUUUAUGGAAACAAACAAAUCUUUGAAAUCAAAGUCAGUGUUUGUAGUCCCAUUCUGUCUUGUCUACCAACCGUGAGUUGUUUCAUUAAAGCACUCCGUAUUGUGCUCUAAGAGCUUUUUAAGUUCGGUUGUUUACAAGUCUUUGUUAUGCUAAGGGUAUUAUCUGACUCACAGUUUCUUUUAUUGUUUCGGAGACCAUUGAGGUUAUGUGCUAACACUAUUGGACGAAAAAAAUUGCGAAAAUUGAGACAAAAAUACAAUAUAUAUAUAUAUUUUUUACCAUUGACAAUAUCUUAGUUUUUAUCGUAAUUAAGAAUUGGUCUUGUCUGCAUUUGCAUCCAUCUAAAGAGCUAAAUGCAACCCUAUAAUGUAGAUUUAGUAUUAAUUUAUGUGUCUUAAGUCACAUGUGUAUAGAAGUACAGCUACAGGCGAUUUAUAAAGUUAGUUUCUGGACACCAACUCUGUCUCUCUUCUCAAGUCGCUAGAUGAACUAAAAAGGGGGUCUUGACGAGAUGUUUUUAUCACAACAACUGUGGAAGUCAUAUUGUCUACUGACAACAGCUGAUUGAUUUUGAGAUCUUAACAGAUCCGUCUUUCCUUCUCUGUAAGCAAGUUCAGUUGUUGCACUCAUCCGUUUUUUUGCCAAAGCUGCAAUUUCAACAAAUUCUGGCAAAAUAGAGGACACACAUCUCCAGACAUCUUGCUGUAAACCGAUGGAGGUGUUGAGGUCCCCAGAUGAAGCCCAGCCCGAUGUAAACAAAAGGCAGUGCAGCGGCUGAUACAGCUGGGAUGCAUCUGAUGUGGACACUAAUGCCAUCAGUUCCGCCAUCUUACCAGGAUGUUUGCACGAUGCUUGAUGUAAAAUAUAAAUGAGGACAGAACCACAACUGCUGUUGAACUUGGAUUGAUGUGGACCUGGAAGUAGUGAUAGUCUCGUUUGUCUUCUCUACACCCUGUCCAUGUGGUUGUUCAGAUUUUAAAACCACUACUUGUGUUUUGCAUAUUUUAAUUCCACCAAUUAUCCUUGUCAGAGAUCAACACUGGCAUAUAGACCUCCUGUAAAUGCUCACAAGAUACUUUAAAACAACAAAUACUUUCAUGUUUAGGAUCCCUUGUGGAUAAGAAGAUGGUGAUGUGGUGAAAUGUAAAAGGCACCAUCACCCUGAGCGGUUAGAUAUAGAGCUUUCCUUUUUUGGCCUUACUGUAAACACAUGCACAUGCUGCCUUAUUUUGCAUUACUGCAGAAGUAGCAGCUCAGCCAUUUUUGCUUUAACACCGUCCCAUACGUGUUGUUUUCAAGUUCAGUAACCCUGAUGUUGAUUUUGGCAGAUUUGGUCUUAGUCUUGCACAGUUCUGCCUUUUAGUUCUGUGUGUAUUUUUUUUUUGUCAUUUUUGCCCUCUGUAGUCUUUGUCUAGUUUUAUUCAGCAUUAAAACUCAUCACGCGAUUAACGUGAUAACCUUCAGUGAAAGUAUUUUUUUCCCCUAUAAAUAAUUUAUUCAGUCUGUUAGAAACUUGCAUCAGAGUUUGACCAAGUGCUUCCAUCUGCAACAUUUGACUCUGUUAACACUUUCACUUGUAUAAGACCUCAGCUGAAUAACUGAGCCCAGACUAUCCCACCAGUGUAAUGCCUCUGUGCUUUCCCUGCUGACCUGCUAAUGCAAGUAAAGUGUAAAUCAAAAGUAGGGCUGGGCGAUAAACUGAAAAUUUACCGAUACCAAUAUUCACGACAAUAACCAAUGUCAUUUUGCCCAUGUCAAUAUAUUUGGUGUAAAAUAAAUAAAUAAAAGUUGGUUUUGGUUGUGUGUAGGUAGGCUAUGGUCUCAUGUCCUUUUUAAGAUGCUGUCCUGCAUCAGAGACGUGAUGACUCCACCCUAUCCAGUCUGUAACAAAGAGGGAAAGACAGGUGAGGAGACAGAGGACGGUUCAAGAGUUGUAACGGUUGAAGUAGACAAAGUUAAUGUGGGAGGGGGUGAGCGGCUUGUGGAGUAGUUAUCGUCCAUUUAUCCUUAUCGAGGUGAACUGCUCAAUCAAUAUAUUGUGAUAUUGAUUUGAGGCCAUAUCGCCCGGCCCUAAUCUAGGGUUUGACAUGGUGAUCGUUGUGAAUUUGUCACUGAUAUACACAAACUCAUCAGUGAAAAUGGAAAAAGAGUAGGUUUGUACCCAAAGCCCACUUGUUGCUUGGGUGUGAUCUGCGCCCCAUUAUUACAUUGCAGCGUAAUGACUCCGCCUGCUGCAGGAACAUGCUAUGCUUAUUUUAACAGAAAGUUUCUUUGUUAUGUUUAGCUUAAAAAAAACACAACAACUCUGGUUUCUAUACUGUAAUAGUGCAAUUGUUGGAGAUUCAGGAUUGUUUCCCUUAAAAUCACUUCCAUGAGGAGCCUUUUCAGGAACCAGGGGUGUGCGGGAGCCAAUGGGGGGCCACAUGAUGAGCACGUCCUGGUGAGCCAGACAGUUACGGAUCACUUGCUUUUAAUUAGCGGCUUCACAUGCAGCCUGCGUGGAGCUGCGAGCUCCACCACAAACGCAUGGAAGAUGUGACAGUUCCCCCUCAGGGAGACACGGCCCGGGGAAAGGCUCCGGCAUUUCUGCAGCUUCUCGACUCAACACAAUGCCCAAUGUGCACGCCAGACCCACGGCAAUUAGCUUCUAAGGUUCCCCCUCGUACUUUGCCUUCUCUCUUUCUUUUUAAUGUCGGAGCUUGGAAAGGCUCAAUAUAAUCAAGUCAAGAAAAGUUUAUUCUGUUUAGAAUUCCAUCUGGUUCCAGGGGGGCUAAUUUUAGCGGCGCGCAGAGCGGUAUGCAGUGAGGCUGCAUGUACCAUCCUACUUAGAGCGGUGGGGGGGAGAGCUCAGCGCAGACACCCAGGCUCCUAGGCAAUAGACUGGCCGACUGGUGUUUCUAAACACUGCUGUAGCCGUUCUCCCAUCACUCAGCACACCCUGUGUUCCAGCAAAAUGUGUCCCUCUGGCACUUACCACAGGAUCCAAGACUCCCUCAGCCCCCCCCUCCUCCCUCCAGCCCAGACCCCUCUCGCCCCCUUCUCUUUCCUCACCCUUUCUGUCUCGCUGCGUAUCGGUAACUUUUACAGUGUUUCAGCGGUCGAGUAUCACCUCAGCUGAGGGCUCUGCAGAGAGAGAGCGACUGCGCUCCGAGCUGUGAUGCUUUGGGGUGAUAGCGCUGAUUGGAUGUGGCACUCAAAAUUACCCCGGUCUGACUGCGCAGUCAUUACAUACGCCUGCAUCAUUUACAAGCAGGACGGAACGGUAAAAUUCAAUUCACAGGGAAAGUAUCGUCUUUGUUUCUCCGUAUGAUGAUUGCAGGAUUGUGACAAAACAUAACUCUCUCAUUUCAAGGUUAAAGAGCAAUGUCUCCAGCCUCUCAAACAGAACAUGCACACAUGGAUUUCCCAUUUGCAGUAUGGAAAAACAUGCCGUGUAGUCGGCGGAUAUCAUACCUACAGUGCUUCAGUCGGGAUUUUGAUGAAAGACUUACUUUUCUUUCUAUUGAAGCAAAACUCCCACAGUGCAUCCAACUAAUUUAAUUACACCUGUAGAUAAGUCAGGUGAGGAAUCGCGGCUGUCAUGAUGUUUCGACCUUUUACAUCGUGGAAAAUUAUAGCCUGGAUGUGUCCGCCUCAUCCCUUCAGCUUCUAUUUGACAGCGCUGAGACGGGGAAUAGAGGCAGACUUGUCCUCUGUCAGGCUUGCAUUACACCAGAAGGGAAGCCUUUUCACGCCUUGCUGAAGAAACUUGAGAGAGCUUAUAUACGAGCUCUGUGGGACCCGCAGAGUCCAGUAGUGAUUCAAACCGGUGAAGAAUAACACACCUUCACCUACUAAGUAGUGUUUGGGCUAAUAUUUUCUCUUUGGAAAAAAAACCUCAGGUCAGAGCUCUGAUUUGUUCCCGUCUCUGGACUGUCAUUUGUCAUCUCAGAUCGUACGUCAGCGUUUCAGCCUGUGUGAACGCGGUGAAUCCCCGCUGACCAUAAGUAGAUUGUUUAUGCUUUGACUAAUUUGGAUGUAGGGUUUUUGAUGGAUCACGGACAGGGGGCAGCUGCCGCAUAAUUACUGCACUGAGGCAUUCAUACUCUCCGUAAUUAACGGGCUUAUAGUGAAAACACCGUGCUAUUAUUUGUGCCGUGCUAAUCAGAGACGUUUUUAUUGCUCUUAGUAUACAGCCAAGAGGAUAUAAACAGGAGUUAUGUGUUCAUUUCAGGUUUUUAUAGCGGGAAUAAUAAAUUUUAGUUUCCUGUAAUUAAUAAAAUUUAAUUUGCGCAAACAGUGUAAAAGGCUAUUUAAAGAGAGAGAAUGAGAAACACAGAGUUGGAAGUGAAACCCUGCGACUCAGAACUCUCCAGGUAGGCUGAUAGAAACUCAUUUAUCCUUAAUGUCCGGUUUUUCCAACCCUUUUUUUUUUUUUCUUUAAAUAACCCCAAGGAGAAGUAUGGAUCAGUCAUCAGAAAAUGCUGUUAUUAAUCUCUGUCCGUAGUCUUAACAAAUGAAGGCUACAAUCAUAUGGAAACAAUCUGGCCCUUGCCCUCCAAGAGACAGAAAACAGAGCCAAAUGAAGAACAUCCUUUCUCUUAAGACCUGUAAUUUGUUUUUAUUACCUAUUAGGCAAAACACCUCAUUUAUCAAUGUCAAAGCCCUCACAAAAUGAUAGCUGUCCACAUGUAAAUCAGCUAAUGCCAUGUAUGGUUCAGAAUUAAGUGGGCUCUUUCUUAUGAAAUGCUCUACUCUGUGGGCUCAGUGACCCAGCGAAGCCACCCACGACCAGACGUUUUUCUUUCACAGGGGCUGUGCUGGAAAACCGAGCGGAGAACACUUAAAAACAGAGCUGAUUAAGCACAGACCGAACUGUGUUUCUGUACCCCACACAGUAAAAACCAGGGACAUGGGUGUGUGUGUGUGUGAGAGAGAGAGAGCUACAAGUCCAGGAAUUAACGCUGAAUAAUAUUUAACCCAAACAGGCUGAAGAAUGGAGGAAAAUCUUGUCUCGCUUGAUUUGUUUUUUGCAUCUAAUUUAACGCAGGCAUUCAAGUGCUUUAGUCCAUAAAAGCGGCAUUUUAAUUCAAAGAUCUUGGUCAUUUUUUCCCACUUUAUGUCAGUCCAGACUCAGAUAUAAAUCUGCAACCCUGUAACUACACAAAGAUGUUUCAUGUCAGGGCCGUAUACCCCCCUACUGCUAAGCUAAAUAAAACACAUGAUCAAUAAAACCUUUGAUUCAGAGCAUGUCCUGCGAGGCUACAGUAAAUAAUCUGCAACUUUAUUUCUAGCUGACGUGUAUAAAUAUUUAUUCUGUUCAUACGCCAUUUCUUUAAGUUAAAACACGCACGUCAAAGGCGGAGGAUUUGUGUGCGAGUUCCUAGAAAUAGAGGUAAAAAUCUCCCCUGCCCGCCACUUUCCAAAGGCGCCUUUACAAUUACUUAUUCAACACACGGUAUUACACACUAUGCCAUCAUAAGCAACUCGGACCCCCUUUUUUUUUCAGCUCAGCAAAAGCAUGAUGAAUGACAGUCUUGGUCUGAGCCGUGCCAAGCAACACAACUCAAAAUACAUGAUACGGAACCAUCCAAUACUACCGUAGAGCAUAUCUGUCAGUCUGGCAGAGCUCUCCAAAACAGGGACCACACACUCUUUAUUAGAGCCAGUAAAAUGUCCCAAAGACGUGGCUCGACUUUGCUUUCUGCCUAGCUACCAUGAACAAUAGCAGGAUUGUGCUGCUUCUCUCUUUUUCUUUUUGUGGGCCUAUUAUUUUUUCUAGCAUUUGUUAUUCUCACUUAAACUUCAGGCUGGCUCCAUGAGCGGGCCACAGCGUCUCCGAACCGGGCCUACUCUGGCCAGGAAAAACCCGGAGGAGCCAGACGAAUAAAAAAGCCAAAGCGCCGACGCCGCGCGGCUCCCAAUCUGGUUCCUGUCAGGGGGACAUCAAGGGAACACCCGCAACGCAAUCUGCAAACGUCUCCCCUUCCCUUUUCUCUCUCUCCCUCCCUCCCUCCACCCUUCAAGCGAUACGUCUCGCAGAUGACUGAACCAUCGCCAAAUGCUCCCAAAAUGCUUCUCUUUUUUCCUCCUCCAUCUCUCUUUUUCCCCCUCUCGUGUCUCUAUGUUUGGAGCCAGCCCACAUGGAUUGGGAUCAAUUUAGGAUGAAAUGAUAAUUACGCUGUCAGUUUCAAUUCAGACGUGAUGAAGUGAGAAACAGGAAAUGUAAUAAACAUAACUGGAAUCCCAAGCACUCUUGAUUUGGAAGCGGAUUGAAUCAGACGCCACAAACUUGGUCGAAUUGUCAAUUCCGUGCCAUCCCCGCUGAGAGGCAGUUAUACGUUUAUGCCUCGUCUCACACCAAAAUGCUGUAUGAAGCAUAUUGCUGCAGAUAAUUACCUGGUUCCACAUUUACUACAGAGACUAUACGCCUGUUACUGUUUAGUUUGGAACUUCAUACAUAAGAAAUGAUUCGGGCUGCGUCUUUCCAGAGGAAAAGUCAGGAGCCUUUCCCUCUCUCCGCAACCCCCAACAGAAGUCGCAUAUCUUUCUGUAUUCGAUCACCACAUCCUGCACCUGAACCGGAGUUAGUUUAUUGUUUUCGAGCGUACUCUGUGUCGGGGAGAUCAGUGAUAGCGCUUGGCUAACAGUAGCCGGCUCUAACCCUGUCAUGUUGGCUCUUCCACAGCUGAUAUAUGGAGCUGAUUCCUGGCGGGCCGCGCCGCGCUGCCUGGAUUUGUUUAACCCGGCAGAUCAACCUUCAGACAUGAGCAUGUGUGCAGGUAAUGGCUGCCAGAUGAGGUGAGGCCAGCUCCUUACAGGCCCGGUGGAUGCUGCAGAGGAAGAAAGGACACACAUAGACACACACGCACAUAUGCAUACGCAAACAUGCACACUGAGGCCGGGACUGUUAUGAGAAGCAUCAACAAACGUGCAAAUAAAAAAAGUCAAUAUUUAAAAGCAUCAUAACCACCUCCCUAUUUGGGUGGUUCUUUGAAAGUUUAGCUUUUAGAUUUUUCAAAAUAUUGAUUUAAACAUUAACUAUUUCUAGGAUCCAUUUACUGCCGGGAUGCCAGCGUGGCUUCGAGCCUAAUUUCGGUGCGCAGACAGAUGCCAGAUAGGUGAAGUGAGGUGAGGGGGUGAGAAGCGAAGGAGUCGUGCUUUUAAAACGUCGAGUCGCCAGGUGAUGUCUGGACACCGGUCUGUCGGAGCGGCCGCCUGACCAACCACAGUCUGCAGGGAUGAACGGCCCCCUGUAAUGAGGACACACUCGAACUAAUAAGUCUUUCCAGCUUGCAUAUUCAUCCACAAAGCAAACAAGUAUAAGUCGAAGAUUAAAUACAGCGGGGGCAUCUUUGGCACGAGCCACGGCCACCCAGGACGCCACAAGGGCUCCGAAUGACGAACUCAGCCGACAACCACUCAAACAAAAAUAAACAGAAACAAGCCCCUCUUACAGGAGAUGCAGAAAAUUAAUUGAGCGAGUUAAUGGUCUGGGUGAAUGCAUCUUCAACAGGGAAGGUCUUCAAAAACUCCGCUCUGGAUGUCUGUAAUAUUUGGAUUUGCAAUUUUAGUAUCUGAUUUCAUCUCUUUUACACUGUUUUACAUGUGGCUUUUAGGGGCAAGCUAAAAGUAAUUCUUUCCCCCAAACGUCAUCAUGCUCUAAACUGGUCAGCAUGACUGUAAAUUAAUUUGUUCCCUUUGCUGUACAGACCUCAAGCUGGAGCAGUAAAUUUCCAACUCAGCUCGGAAAGGAUGAAGAAGAUCUGUCCUUAAAGGAGUCACUAAUGAGUGUGCCUCAGCUGAUGGGUCAAAUAAAUUAAAAUAGCUGCUUUAUAAACCCGCUUUUUCCUUCUGUGUAGUGAUUAAAGAUCCUUGAGUAAUGCGAGCUGGAAAAGAAAAGCAAGAUAAAGAGAAAAAGAGAGAAAACUUCCCCCGCUAGAUGCUCAUGAGGCUGUUUUUACAAGCCAGCGUCUUGCAGUUAAAAAGUGAAAAGGUGUAGCUGAUAUUUUUCUCCCAACCCGUCCGUGUGAAAGUUCAUCAGGUAGAGAUCCAUCGAGGGAGCUCCCCGCAUCUCCUGCAGUGUAAUUUAUAACCGCUACCCACCGUGCAGCAGCAACAGAAGAACAAACUAGACCCAGGGGUUUGAUAAAGAAGCACGGCGAUGAAAAGGCCUCCGCUACCAGCAGCCGCCCUCCCGCCUGCGCAAAGCCAGAGAGCAGCGAGGAGAGGAAACCGAGCCAAACUCUGCACCUGGCCUCUGCAGAGUCCGCCAAGUCUCUUUCCUGUUCCUGCUUCCUGUUAUGACGUGUUUUUCUUUUAAUUAUUCUUUUUUUUUUUCUCUCUCUGGCUGUGCAGCUCGGAGCAGGUAAAAGGGGCAUUCAAGCAUUGAAGCCACCUGGGAUGGCAGGUUGAGUAAAGCACGGGGGAGUUGUGCUCUGGAACAUGUCUGCAGGCAAAUUACUCUGCCUUUACUGAUUAGUCAGGCCAGCCUCUCACCUGGCAAACAUAAUAUCACCAUAUGACAGUAUAACAGAGGUUACACUGUCGGCUAAAACCUGUUCAAAAACAUACUUGUAUUGUUAAGUAACGACAAUUUUAGUAUCAUUAGGAAUAAAUUUGUUUCUUUUACAGAUUGAUGUCUUAAUUUGCAACAUGUUAAAUCCUGGUAAAAUCCUUUUGCAGCCUUAAAUGAACAAAAAUUCAAACACCAUGUGAUCACAAAUACAGCGAUAACUAGAAUGAAAAGGCUCGACAUGAACUCUCAUCUGUAUUUGUAACUGUAGUACAUAGAAGAUUGAGCCGCUUAGAUUUACUGUUUGCACUAAAAAAAAAUUCAAAAUGUCCAUUCUCCAGCUUAGACGUGUAGUUUCUCUACCCUGUUAUAGGACAACUGAUAAAAACAAACUUAAUGCAAAGCGUUGACAAAGAGCAUAAAGCUCCAUCAUCUGAAAGUAGUUGUUUUUUAACAGAAGUGCAUCUCCUACAUUGACUUUGAGAUUUUUCUUUUUGGUAGGAUGCUCCUUUUGUGCCAUUAACUUCAUACACUUUAUUUUUUUCCAAUACUUAUAGGGAUUUUUUUUGAAGUAUAAAACCAUUUUUCCUCAUUAACUUCAUUUUAUCUCCCACUGUUUUCUUCCCAGAUACCUUUUCUCUCAUGUUCCUUUUAAAGAGGACAGAAAACAAAACAGUAUUUACAAACUACAAAAAGUUUAAGACCCUUACCAGUCAAACCUUUUAGGGUACUGCGCUUGUAUUAAAAUUUGUUGUAACUUUUAAGUAUAGCCUUUUUUUUUUUUUGCUGUUUGCAUUUCCACUCCACUAACUUUCAGAAGAAAAAAAAUGUUUUUCAGUCUACUACAUUUAGUAGCUGAUUUUUUUUUUUGUUUGUUUUUUAAAUCAGGACUCGAAAAUUCCUGUUUAUUAAAAAUGCAUAAACACUAAAUUCAGACACGCAGGAGUGUAUGGAAAUGCAUAAACUAAGUCCAAUCAAUGCUGAAAUGAUCUUUUUUUGCAUGCACACGCACAAUCGAUCAGGAUAAAGUGAUGUCAAAAUUCUAACCACCCUCACAGGAGCUUGGUUCACACUUGCUGUUAGUUUUUUUUACAGUAUUGAGAUGUGAAUUGUUGUUUUUAUCUUGAGUAAAUGAGAGUAAGGUCGUUUUUUUGCUGUUACAAAGCCCCUCAUUUGAACACUGGGUGGCACUGUGCAGACUGGAGACCUUGACAACAGCAGACACACAAAGCUUGAAGAUGGAGAGCAGCAGCCAAACUAACUGGUGGUCCUCUCUCUCUCUCUCUCUCUCUCUCUUUCUCUCGCCAUCCUCCUGCAUCAGCACAACGCUGGUUUAGAGCAGAGCAAUAUUUAGCCAUAAGAAAAUAUGAAACCCCUGUUUCUAUGACGGUAGGCUGAAGUACACAAAAAUCUGGAAUGAAAACAUCUUGGAAGAAGUAUCCCCCCCUCAGAAAAGCGGGCUCACAUUUCAGCAGUAGUGAACAUAAUAAUUAGUCUGACCACUCUUUUCCUCCACUUUCUUCCUCUUGUCCUCAUCCUCCUCUUCGCUGGCCUCCUCCAUAGGUCAGAAAUAGAAGAGCUGAUUCCCAUGCAGCAGGGUGGCUCUGUGAUUUUACCAGGAUGUACUUUCACUACUUCUCCUCCGUGUGCCACAUUACCAUUCUGAUUUCAAUAAUUUAUAGGAAAUGCCACAUCGUUAAAAUGUGAGCCAUGCGUCUUUUUUUUUUUUCGUCGAGCAAGUAGGACAUGUGUCUCGCUUCAAACAUCAGCCUGUCUUUGUGUGUAAUGUGUGGCAUUUGAAAGGCUGCUUAUUAUUGAAUGGAGUCUCUGUGAGGUUUCCGAGGCAGGGGGACAUCUAUUAGGAGGUUAGCAAAACACUAUCAGCUAAUACGACCUGUAAUUACACCAGCAGUGAGGAAACGCAGCAAGCUAACACCAGUAUGGAAACAAUCUGACAAUGCAAACACUGCAACUAAGCCACCACGUGUGUGUGUAUGUGUGUGUGUACAUUUGUAAGCGUGUAUAGGAGUGAGUAAGUGUGUGUGUGUGUGUGGACAGAGGCCUCCUUGCUCAGAUUGUGGCUGUGCGAACUGUCAAAUUGGAGUGGCUGGGUGGGAGUGGAGGGAGCACAUCUGGAGGGAAUUUAUUGUAUAAUUCAGUCUAUUAUUGCUGCGGUCGGUGCUUAAGGAGCACGCACACAAUUACCGUCCACUCUGCAAGGCUACAAGUGGCCUCUGGCCUAAACUAAUAAACUGUGGAGGAGGGUGGAGAGAGGAGAAUUCAUUUGAGGUUAUCAUCAUCACACUCCUCUCUGCUACCUCUCACACUGACACUUACCAGAGUUUACAAUAUGUCAAUGAGGUACACCUACUACUCAGGCCCAGAUAUGGUCAAAGUGGACCUCAGUCUGGCUUUCAAAGGUUUUAAUUAGUCACAUAUGCCAUGCAAAGUUGGAUUGUUUGGAAGAGCUCACCAUCACCAAUAUUUGAAUGGUUAUUCAAAAUUUUGCAGUAAAGUACAAUCAGGAGAUGAAGACAAAAGAAUGGAGUGUAAAAGUUAGAAUUUUGGAAAAGUCCUUUCAGUCAAAUCAGAACCCCACUAGGUUUAUUUGAUUAAUAGUUUGAUAAUGCAUUAUUUUUAUCCAUUAAAAAAGCAUCAAGGUAGUAUUUCUAAAAGGUGCCAUUGGCCUUGUAAUUGAGGUGUGGUCCCCGGGUAAAGAGGCUGUGGUCCACUGGCUUGUAGGCUGGAUUCAACAUCAAUUUACUCCCAAGUCUCUCCUGUUUUUUUGCUUAUUCUUUCACCUUGUUCCCUCAAAAGACUGGUUUGCCUUUCUAUGUAGCUCAUGAUUUUUAAAGCUUAUAAACUCAGAGAUUAAAUGUAUGAUUUUUAUUUGUAAUAGACGAGUAGCUCCUUAUGUUCGUCAAGAAUCACACCACCCUCCUUGGCUUGUUACUUUUUGUGUCAAAUUGAGGAGUCCUUUCAGUCAAAUCAGAACCCCACUAGGUUUAUUUGAUUAAUAAUGAAACUGUAAAUGCAUGAUUCUGAUCCAAUGAAAAAAAGCAUCAAGGUGGUAUUUCUAUAGGGUGCCGUUGGCCUGGCAAUUGAGGUGUGGUCCACUGGCUUGUAGGCUGGAUUCAACAUCAAUUUACUCCCCAGUCUCCAGUUUUUUGCUUUGUUUACCAUGUUGUUCCCUCAAAAGACUGGUUUGCCUUUCUAUGUAGCUUGUAUCUCCCCCAGCAUGACAGACAGGAUUCAAAUCCUUCACUUUGACCAACCAGUCUGAUUGGAUAGUCAGAUCUCUUGUUAAACCUGGUUGGUCUUCGAUGCAGCAGCCUUCUUUUCAUGGCACAUUUGCUUUUAUUAGAUCUUCAAAUUUUGACUUUGGAUAUAAAUCUCCUUUAAAGCGUGUGUGUGUGUGUGUAAAUACCUGUUGCUAACCCUGUAUAAGUCAGUGCCUCAUUUCGGCCACCCCAAUCCAAUAAAUCUGGACAUGCCCCUGGGGUUCACUAAAUAAUAUGUUUGCUAACCCCACACGCUACCACAAAAAUGGACUGAAAAUCUGUUCAGUUGGGUGCACUAUAUACUGCGAAAUUGGAUGCUAAUUCUGCUUUAAUAUCGUUUAAAGAAGGCCCGCCUCUUUCUUAAUUCUUCUAAUAAUGCCCCUGCUGUAGUUCUGUAAUCACACAAACUAAUGUUCUGUACUCAACGUGAAUGCCAUUAUCUCAAUGCCUUUAGCAGCUCUCAUGUUUCAUGUGAAACCUCCUGCUCGGUGUAUUAAGUAGGUGCAUGAGCAAGAGAUCCCCAUCGGUUUAUGAGGUGAUGUCUUUUCAUAUACAUUAGUUCUCAUCAUAAAAAGGUCCGAAAUAAAACCCACCGCGUCUUUUCCAUUUCAGCAGUCUCUAGGAAUAGACUAGCGAGGCGUCGAGGAUAAAGACUUUACCAGGGGAAAAAUCUGCUCAGGCCAGCCAGUAUCUGGCUCAGGCAGCCCCGAAUGACCCGCAGAGUGUGUGUGUGUGUGUGUAUGUGUGUGCGUGUGAUUUAGGAGCUCUUAACAGCACUGGCGAGGAGCUCGUAACCCAAAACAAUAAAGUGCUUCCCCUUCAAGCCUCCCAGCAGUGACCUCUGCUAAAAGUUGAGGGUUCAAACAGCUACACGUGUCAGGGUUGUGACCUUUCACCUGCUGAAUGUUUCAGUCUCGCUCUUUUUUUUUUCUCCUGCCUCCUCCGUCCUUCCUUUUUCACUCGCUGUCUCUUUCCUCAUCCUCUUUUUUUUUUCUACCACUGCGCACACACUCAACCUCUGUUCUCCUCAAACUGAAUGAUGCUCUGUCUUGCUGUCUACAACAGUUGAGACUUGGCUUUCUCCAACACUUUUUCUCAGUGUAAUCAAAAACUGUUUUCAGCUCUGACUUUGGCCUGGCAGACUUCCAAAGCUGCAUUCUGCUGCCUGACAAAAUUACUGCUUGCAUAGUUUUAGAAAAACUGCAAAAACACAACACUUAAAAAAAAAAAACUCAUUGGUUAUGCAUAAUGUUUUGUUCCUCCUGAACUUACUGGACCACCCUGUUUCUACGUUGAGCUUACAUCCUUGUGAUACCACCAACAGAAAUGACAGUUUGGCAUAUUUGCUUUAACGUUCGUCUGUCCUCUGAUCAGCUUUGGAAGAAUCGUUCACAUUGACAAAAAAGAUCUGCAUCCUGUAGAUUCAUUUUAAUCUGAUCCCUUUUAAUAACCACCUGAAGAAUAUUAUUUUGUAACAUGGGAGUAUUGACAUCACACUCAGUCUGUAAUCUGGGUUAGAGGGUACCACCAGCAGCCAGUUAGCCUAGCUUGGCAUCAAAACUUAAAAUAGAGGAAAACCACAUAGUGCAAAUUAAAGUUUUGAGGUUGAGUUCCCUCCAAAAAAGCAGCAGCAAAUGUAGGGUGAACACUGUGGGCGAAAUUGCUAUGGAUGGCAUAGUUGGCAAGUUAUAUCAAUAUACAAAUAUGACAUGAAUAACAUCUGCAUGGACUUGUUGUGAGAUGGAAUGUAAGCAAUGUAAAUUGAUGCUGUGUGGCAGAAAGUGGCUGUUUUAAUAUUAUUUAGUCUAAUUUUGUGCAGUCUUUUUGGGUUUAGUGACUUUUUUGUAAUGAUUUGUAUGAAAAUCAAGCAGAAAUUGUUCAUGCAGACCCGAGGUUACAAAUGCAGGAAAUUAACCUUUGAGUCUUGCUGAUAAACUUGCUUCGAUGUGCCACUGCGGUAAGUUCAGCUCUAACUAAACGAUGCUCUUGUUCUUCUCUGCCAAGGUAUUUCAGCGAAUUAUCUAUGCCUGUAAUAUCAAAACACUCUAUACAGAGUUAAUCAAAUUUAGAUGUGCAUUUGAAAGAAAAUGCUGUGUCGUGGUUAGAGCUGGGCAAUAAACCGAAAAUUUACUGAUACCGAAAUUUACGACAAUGACUGACGUAAUUUUGCCCAUGUCAAUAUAUUUGGUGUCAAAAAAUGAAUAAAAGUUGGUUUAUGAUGUGUGUAGGUAGGCUAUGGUCUCAUGUCCCUUUAAGACUCUGUCCUAUGUCAGAGACAUGACUCCACCCCAUCCAGUCCGUAACAAAGAGGGAAAGACAGGCGAGAAGAUGGAGGAUGGUUUAAAAGUUGUAGCGGCUGGAGCGGCAGCUGAAGUUGACGAAGUUAAUGUGGGAGGGGGUGAGCAGCUUGUGGAGGAGUUCUGCUCAAUGUAUCGUAAUAUUGAUUUGAAGUGAUAUCAUAGACUGUAUAUAGAAGGGACGCCGUCUGCCUCCUCGCUGGGUGAAGCCACUCCGAGAACAGCACCCUUUAGUGACAGGCUGCAGUAUAGGUCAUAAAUCCGACCUCUGCCAGCAAAGCUUAUGGGACUGUGGACAAACUUUAGAAAUUUAUUACACAGAAUGCAAAUUUUUCUCCCCCCUGGUUGCAAUGCGAUGAAAAAAUGCGUAGUUACAGAGAGCUUUUCUGCUUUAAAUCCAUUCAGUGGUGGAAGGGGGGACCAAGUUGUUCAUAGUAUAUUCAGUCUAUGGGCCGUAUCGCCCAGCCCUAGUGCCUGCACAGUAUCAUAAAAUAGCAUUUUAAUGUUUAUGGUGAUUAUGGCAUGGAGUGUGUUUGUGAAUGUAAAAAAAAAGCUCGAAUGCACACUAGAUUAGCCAGAAUUUUGGGGGUUGAGUCGUACUCAAAAGGGCAUUGCAGGUCUCAAAGUACACAACGGCUGAGUAUAAUAUGUUUGUUUACCCAGUAGCUAUAUGGGUAACAAAUGUUCGAAUGCUGUUGUUGUUGAUUUCAAAAUAAGACCCAGCUUGCAUGCUGCCCAAGCCAAAAAUGUGCAUUUGUUAAAGUCAUUUGAACCUGGGAGAAAGUUCACAAGUGUGUUGUUAACAGCAUAACCAACAAGUAAAGGGGGUGUGCAGCACAUACAGGUUGAGUGUGUUGUAGGUAGUGUGUUAGUAUGUGGUUUUGGAUAGAGUCAAGCAGUGUUGGUGAGCUAAGCAACUGUCUGUUCAAACACUGGUGUAGUAAUAAUCAGGUUAUGUUAACUUUCGGCGUGUGGAGGGUGAUAUUUGACCCUUUUUUAUGGCCACAGCAUCAAGUUUCAUGUCUAUACUAAGCUUUAGGCUCCAGAUUGUGUCCCUACACUAAGUUUCUAGCUGAACUGAUAUCAAUCUUGAAGUAUCGCUUGGCAGGAAAGCAAAAAAAUGGGCAGAAAUCUUAAAUCAUCCAUGCCAAAUAAAAGCCGCAAACUCUGUGGCGCUAUCUUUUUGUUUAUGUAAAGACAUUGGUGAUGAUUUAAAAGCUUCAAGAGUCAUCAGAAAUUUUUACUGACUCCUGUUUUACAUCACGACCACAGUAUUAUGUCUCGCCCCAUGAGGUGUUAUGUCUGCCGGGCACAGCGCCGUCCCCAGCCUGUGGAUACGCUACAGUAUUUACCAAUAUUGAAAUAGCUUGGGAUGAAGUGAGUAUUGAAUCAGGAAUGUGCUUGUGGCAGAUCUCCACCCCUGAUAAUAUAGGGUGUUUUUCUCCCCAAGUGGUUUUGCCCACUUGUUUUUCUCACUGUGUUUUCUCUCCCGUUGCAAUGCUCUGUCACUCUUCCAGUAAAUGUGUAUAAGUGUGCAUGCGUGUGUGCGUGUUUGUGCGCUUUAAGGAGGUUUGUUUUUAUUCCGGUUGCUGUCUGUGUUUGUCGUUAUUCUAUCUUUACAAGCUCUGGGUUGUAAGUAGGAAUGUAAAGUCACACAUUUCCAAGGAAAACAAUAAGGUCGGCUGGUUACACAUCCUAUGUGCAACCUCUGGGCUAUGCAUUGUCCAUUUAUCUGGUUUAUUUAAGUUUUUAUUUUUUUUGAAAAACGCUUAGCUUCUGUGGCCUGUUGUGGGAAAUGCUUGGAGUGUAUAUUGUUUUUUAUUACUGUAGAAACCAAGAAUAUGCGUAUUUUGAGUUGUGUAAUAAGAUAAUGAUAGAGUAAAUAAGAAUUUUGAACGGGAAACUUUAAAAGGUUAUCCGGGAACAAGACGGAUUGUUUUCAAAGAUCAUGAAGAGAUAAAGUGUUUUUUGAAUGAAGCCAAAAAGAAGUCUCAAAAACCACAGAGGAUCCUCAGUAGGCGGAAACAUCCAAACAGAACAGGCAGCUCGUGCGUCUGCCUAUGGUUAAAGAUACUUCCUUCAUUUAAUACUGUGCCACAGCAUACAGUAGUCAAAAUGAUAGCCUUGUCUUUUGUCUGUCCCAAUGUGCAAUUUACACAGCUUGGUGAUUUGGUCAGAGGGAGACCACACGAUGAAGGGUGAUAGACCACAGACCAAGUGGCAAAAGGACAGGAAAUAUGCGAUGAAAAGUGCAAUGAAGUGGAUGAGGUCACCCACACGCAGCGACCAAAAAUCAAGAGACUCUCAGCCUCAAAAUUAAAGAUAAUAAUUUCUGUGACCUACAACAUUUACGCGGCCACCAAUGAAAACCUCGCGCAAGUCUUGUUUUUCUCCCUUCUCAAAACCGAGCCUGAGUGUACAUUCAUUUAAGCUGAGUGUAGAGAGACCACAUAAGAGGAGGACACAAACAGAGGCCAAUUAGAGAAUGAUUGGAAAAAAACGACAAGAAAAUAAAUGUCACGAAACAGCUGCGGUCACUACUAGUGCGACAGUUAACAGGCUUUCAUAAAAGAGGCAAGAAAAGAAACACUUUUACAUAUCUUGACAAGUACAAGGGGAUGUGGAGCAGCCGCCACUAAACAUUCCUCUUUUACUCGCCUCUCGGUUUUUAUUUUUGCCUUUCUGUCACUUAAAAAAAGCCCGGGCUGUCUUUGUUCUCGGGGUUGCGUGGAAGAGCGUGGUCGGGUGUAAUUAUGUCUUUUAUUCCAGAAAAUUGGGUGAUUCAGAGAGCUGACACAGAGGAUCUGAAAGCACCUGCGCUCACUCAAGUCCACUGGCCAGAAUCUCGUAAAACACUUUUCUGGAUCUACCCUCUUGUAAACAUGAGAAUGUGUCUCGUGUGUGUGUGUGUGUUUUUAUAGCAGCACAGCUCUAUUGAUGACUUUCUCAGUUUGUUUGAUGGUCAUCUGAUCCACCGCUUUCGUUGCAGAUUUACUUUAAUGACUGUAUUGAUUCAUUGGAAUUUUGUGCAGCCUUUCCUACAGCAUAAAUCUAUCUUCGUCAUUUACUCGAAAUGAAACAGCAAGUUUGUAUUUUUGAUUUAAAGUUGUAUUUCUCCAGUAGGACUUUCACAAUAUCAUAUUUUCACAUCACAAUUGUGGCCAAAACAAAAGCUAAGAAGAAAAAAAACACAAAAAUGUCAAAUUAAGGAAAUGCAAGCUGAAGAUUACCAAAAAAUGCAAUCGGCUAACUUUCAUGUGAUUAUCCAUUUUUUGUUUAUUCUUGUUUGAGGGCAUUUGGCUUUUCUCUGGUAAGACAGCUUAAGAGUGAGAGAGAAGAAACUGUAGUUAAGAGUGGAGAAAGAUGUGCUUUUUUAAAGUAAAGGUUGCCUUAUUCUGAAACUCUUACUCGACUUUUUUACUGUCUACUGCCCUUUGAGGCUUCUUUAUUCCCUGGGUUGUAAAAACAUGCUUUUAUUCUGAAAUAAAUUACGCUACUUCCAGUGGAUCGGGAGUAGGGAUGUAACGAUUACCGGUAAAAUGAUAAACCACUGUAAAAUGUCUGACGGUUAAUACUACCGUUUUAAAUUUUAAUUACCGUUAAAAGUUCAUAUUGCGUGUUAUUUUCAUUGUUUUUUCAAAAUUAAACUGUGUUAAAUGAUUUCAGGACCUGUAUAAGUACUUUUUAAACAUUUUGAACAUAUUUCAACAACACCGCGAUAAUAUCGAUAACCGUCAUAAUUUUGGUCACAAUAAUCAUGAUGAUUGUUACAUCCCUUAUCAGGAGUUACAGAACUGAUUAGAAAGGGCUAAAAUAAGGAUAUGACAGUUUGAAGUAAUAAAGAGGCACAGGCUCUCGCAUUUUUAGAUCACAGUAGAUCUUUGAAUAUCAGUUAAUAGUCUCUCUAUUUUAUGGCAGGUGGCAACCAACUUUAAGAGGAAACAUGCGAGCUUUGUCAGCCAUGCCCUCAAGAGGAAAGAGUAAAAAUUUUGUCUAGAAUAGUUUGUCUCUGCACUUGCAUACAGAUACUGCAAGCUUUCUGCCUGCUUUUGCUCUCCAUACCUUUUUUUGCACAAUACACUUGUUCCUGCUGAAUUAUACUUGGUCAGCACCACUUUUGACAACAGAAGUACUUUAAGUGGAAAUCAGAACAUUCCCAUGCUUAAAGUGUAGACCCCCGAUCAAGUACAGAUGCAACAUUUUAUGUCGAAUCUGUUUUGUGUUCAUUUUUAAAAGACUUGUUUAGUAAAAACUCAGUGAAAUGAGGAACAGGCUCGACUACAGGAGUCGAAGGACAGAUACUAUUAGCAUUGUGAUCAUGAUUGUUUUAAGCUAGGGUUGCCAUGUAAUUUAAAAACACCAGAGGUUCACAGUUAGGCCUCACAGAACUAUUGCUUAAGCGGAGGAUCUGGAGUUAUUUUUGUAUUUAAAUAAAUUGUACUUUGGUGUGUCUGAUCGUCUUACUGUCAAACCCAGACGAGCGUGUAUGCUUGCUUGCUUUGUGUUAACAGAUUUCUAGACCUGCCCUUGUCGAACAAAUGGUCAGCAGAAAGAUGGUUAUGGUGUGUAAAACGCAGCUGCCGUCAAGUUUCAAAGCUCAAAGCUGUGUUUUACGGAAACACAUUCUAAAGGCCAUCACUCAGAAUCUUACUGUCAGAGCCCAUAAACAGUGGCUCGACAAUUACCAGCAAUUACAGAGUAAACUUCCAUCUUCUGUUACCAAAUGAUUUUUUUGUGUGUGCGUUUAAAGGGGGCCUUAUAAAUGAUUCUGUGUAAAGAGCUGUUUGUUUUUUCAUCGGGUCUACAAUCUUCUAAUCCCGGAGCACUUCAAAGUAUUUACAGGAACAAGCCAUAACAGGAUCAGCCUCUGAAUGAGCUGGGAGAUCAAAGCCAGGGGCUGCUGCCGACAUAAAUAUGGAAAUAAUAAAACUCAGUGGGAACAUAGGGUGGAACAGGGACGAGAUUGACAAAGAAGACAGAAAAGCCUUGGUAGAUAAAAGAAAGACGAACGGACUCUGUUUUGGAUGCAACACUGAUUUUACACGAGUAUAGCUUUAGCAGAAGUCCAUUACUCGAGCUCAGGAGGUGUUUUUUUUAUUAUUAUACCCUUUGAGCAAUUUGUUACACAGUUUGAUGCUUUUCCCUCGGUCCAAACUUGAUGUUGUGUCAGGUUCAAAACCGUAAAUUUCCUCUUUAGAGUCAGUAACUAGUUUUUGUGUGAAAAGAACUUAAAAUAACAGACAACAAAGUCAUGUGGUAGGAACUUGGAUGAUUUAUUUUUAUGCAGGUACUCAGACACUUGUUAAUGAACCACAGAGUACUGGCAAACAACAUCUCAGGGAAAACAGGCGCUUACAGCUGCAGCAAAAUACUCCUCAAGAGCCGAGUUCAUUUUUAUAAGCAUCCAAAUCGGUGAUUGUAAUCCAAGUACCUGGUUCUAAAUUGCUGGGGAUCAAACCUUGCCAAUAUCUUAUUGUGAAAUUACUGCACAAGUAUAAGAGUGAAGAAUAGUUUAUUUAGAGUUACACAUUUUAAAGGUACAGUGUGUCAUAUUCUAGAUUUAGAUGCUUCUAUCUGCAAAAUGACAGUGGCCUUCAAGGACAAGAAGCCCCUGUGACGUAUGAUAAUAAUAAUCCUCCCUUUGUCUAAUUUUAACCAUCAAAAAUGAAAAAAAUUACAAAUUCGUUCUUCUUUGUUGCUCACUUUAAACAAAACUGCAUAUUUUCCUCAUUUGUUUGAAGGUUGGAACGACGUCAUGGAGGCCACCGAAGGAGGGACUUACGCUGCAUUCAAGUUACCUCGGAAGUCGGAUGUCGGAGCUGAAAAUAACGUCAAACCCGAGUUACUAGUGUUUCAGUUGUCAAGUUGGAAAAAAGCAAAAUCGGAGGCGGAAACAAGAUGGCUACAUCUACGGAAUUAUUUUUGGUCUAGAAAGUUAUUAAAACUUUCAUAGAUGUACGAAAUUUCGUAGAUGAAGCCAUCUUGUUUCCUUGGGCCAAGUUAUUUUAGUGCUUGCCUUGUCCUUGUUGGGACAAGGCAGGCGCAAAAAUAAUUUCGUAGAUGUAGCCAUCUUGUUUCCGCCUCCGAUUUUGCUUUUUUCUGACUUGCACUGGUAACUCAGGUAUGAUGUCAUUUUUAGCGCCGACAUCUGACUUCCGAGGUAACUCAAACGCAGCUUUAUUCUUAGUUAACAGAGACAAAAUGAUUAUUGUAUUUAGGUAAUGAUAUACUAAUUUAAAAUGCUUAUUACUCCCCACUGCACCUUCAAAUAAGUACCAUAGCUUCUUAUUUUUUCUUUCUUUGCAAGAAUCAACUGGAUAAAGCAAAUUAUUAGUAUGAGGUCUAUUAGGAAAUAGAAAGCUGGUCUAAAUAAAAGUAUCCUGUCUGCUUGUACCUUGUGAAAGAAACUUUUGUAAAUAAGCAGACCAUUGUUUGCACUUCCUCCUACUAACACUCAAAUAGCCCUCAUGUAGUGAAAACCACUGUGAGCUAAAUUGAGUUACUUUCUUGAGUGUUGAGCAUCAGACUCUGAGAAUGGGAAGCAGUGUUGAGAAACAUCAUUGGCCCGAGGAUGCAGAAGCAGUCGCAAAGAAACUAAACUUAGAGCUUCCUUGGCAUCUGUCGUCAGGGAUGACUGAUUGAAACGGAAUAUAUGAGUGUUUUUAGUUACAAGAUAUGUUUGAAUCUAAUCCUGCAGAUGUGAUGGGAUUGCUGAAAAGAGGGCGUGAUAUAAAGUUAUGGAGACCGAGCUGCAGAGGACUAUUGGUUUGUGUGGUUUGCAAAAUGGUCAUUAUUUCCCUGUGCUACUGAGUUCAUGGGAAAGUCUUCUCUCUUUACAGUUCAUUUCAGUGAAGCAGUGGAUGCAUUGAAUGAUAUUUGAAAUGACAGCCUGCUAUGUAUCAUAACUUCAACUUUGAAUUUUUAAUAUCUCCUUUUUUUUAGUGUGAACUCUGUACUUGGCGUUCAUACUGAGUAAAAAUGAAAUGAUUGUCACCUCCCAGAGCAUUCCUCCAUACACAACUGUCCAGAGUUGAAAAAUCGUCACUCAAAUGUUUGAUACUCCAGGGAACCCCGUACCCCUUACUGCACUGAGAUAUGUCAAUAAGCUACAAAGAAGGCCUGUCAUCAUGUCAGCUCUGCUUUUCACUCUGAACCAAAGAAACAAAUCAGGAUCAUAUGUAAUACAACAGCAUGUGCAUCUAGAGUGACACAAAGCCCCAUUGUUUCUCAACAAUAACAACGGUCCUUUAAUGUCCUUAAAGAUGGCUAAGUCUCACCCUCUGCAUCAAGGUUGAAGAGCAACUUGAUAGUGUGGUCUCUCCAGUUUCCAUUCAUUAUUAGUCACUGAAGGUCAUCCGCUUACAACUUCUUCUUCUUCUUCUUGAGCUAUCUGCGAGCUGAUGUUGAGCAGCAUGAAAACUUUAAGACUUCUCAUCGAUGACAAUACGUUAAUGUUGAUUUAGCUUUGUUCAAAUCGUUUCCUACCCCGUAAAGCCUGAAGAAAAUAUCCAGCUUUAAGCAUCCUGACAAUCCCAAACUCUUGUAUCUUCAUGGUUCUUGUCCAUGCAUCCGGUAUGACACUGCAUACAAUGUCCUGCAUUCCUCUGUAUCAGAAAUAGUAACACCUUUAGGUCUGGAAUCUUUUAAAUUCAGAUUUUUUUAAUGCGUUACGCUAAAAAUCAAGGUUAUAAAUCCUAAAAACAUCUUUGUUUACUGAAAUAAAAUAGAAACGAGGCUUUAAGAAAACAAUAACUAACUAAAACUGUUGUUUUCUGGGAAAGCUAAUUAAAAUGAAAUUAAAUUACAGAAAGAAUGCCUUUUGUUUUCGUCUCUGCCACACAGCAACACACAAACCCUAGACCUCUUAACAGCAGAAAUGGAGCCUAUUACUCUUUAUUACUCUAUAUUAGAAAGGGGACUUCCAAAGAGCUGAUUGAGGCCUUAAAGUAUUUACAAUGCAAGGCCACCUUUUUUCUACCUGCAGGUAAAUGUUCAAAACAGUUAUGAAGGGUUAGGCUACAAAUACUCACAGUAGAUGGCCGCGGAGACAGCAGGACACUACUGUCACAUACAGUGCUCAGCAUAAAUGACAGUGCUCUUGUGGACAUACAUCCUAAACAAGAUUUGUGACUUUUACCUGCGGGUUAAAUACCUUUAUUUCACUUAAGUGCCUUAAAAUCAAUAUUUUCUAUGUCAGACUAUACAACAGAAUACCUCCCCAAAUGUAGGCCAUUGAUUGCAAGCAAUAUUUUUUUAAGUUGCAUACAAAAUAUAUAUUUUUUCAAUUUAAAAUCGGGAUGCAAAAAUGACUACACCCAAAUCAAAGUUAUGCUAGCAAAGCUAAAUUUUAGUUAUCACCCUUAUUGUCAUCAUACAGUAAAUAAAAUGUUAUGUUAAACUCAGCUUAGUCAAAACUGGAAAUUGUACUUUUUAUGCCGGGGACUGUAUACAGAGUAAGAGGUUAUAGGUGUCACUUUGUCCACAGGGGGCGCCAGUAUCAGCACAAACCAAAAGUCUCUCAUACCAGCUUUAAGCAUGGAUCAAUCAGCCAUACGAUGAAUUUAAACAUACCAAGUCUUGUCUCUGAGGAGGCAAAUAACCAAAUAAAAUGAUGUUCAAAGUUUUUUCCUACAUAUGCUACAUUUUUUGAGGGGUCUUGCCCGUGAUGCGUAUUACCAUAUCACAAGAAACUAAAGCCAUUAAAAUCUAAACUAAAACAAAGCAUCAUCCUAAGUUUUUAAUCAGUCUCUAGUCAAAGUUAAGACCAGUUCACCCACCACCCAUAGUUGGAUGUUUAAUGUGAAGUUGUAUUUUUAGCCCCUCUAUACAAAGCGAGGCAGAGCUUAUUAAGAAGUGCUUGUUUGUUUUAAAAGAAGAUUACUAGAUCUUGGUCCUCUUCAGCCUUGACAGAAUAAAUAAAUUGUUUAUUUCUUUCAAUUCUUUAAUCACAGUACAUGUUUAUAGUUGUGCUCAACCCUGUGCCCGUGCGCAGAACUGUGCGUGUGCAGCGGUGUGUAGUUACGUGUGUGUUUUCUCUUAGUGCGUGUGCGGGCGAGUGUGAGUGUGGGCGCAGGGUAAGAAUUAAAGAGGCCCUGGGAUGAAUAUGUAGAGCAGAUGUAGCAGCGGAGCUCAAAGGCUUACGCCUGGAGCCCAUUUGACACUGUAGGAAAUGUCUUCUCUGACAGAAAGCAAAGCGUCUGUGGGGUCACCAGGUUGAACUAAUAACUGGGAUCUUCGAAAUGAUAUAAACAUGUACAGAGGAAUCAACGCUGGACUCUGCCAUUGGAGCGUUUCUGUUUCACAGAAUAAUGGAGGCUGUUGCCAUGAGUCUGGGAGUUCAGUUUUACGACUUCCCCAUUUAAUUUCUGUUCCUAACAUAAAGGCAUUUGUAAUGUAAUAAAUGCCAGCGACUUCUAGAGGGAAAAUCUAUAAUUCACUCCAGUUGGGUAAUUUCUUCCAUUUGUUUAGUCACAAAGAGCUUUGGUCCGGAUCAGGAAACUACAGAGACAACUGUCUUUCGAAAGCGAGCAGACUGGCCGGGGAUCAGUCAGAGCCUCCACGGCUAAAACGAGGAAAGCGUUUCUCUGUAGUCUCAACAACGCCUUCGAAACUCACAGGCCGUUUCUGCACGACGAGGAAACUCCGUGUCAGCGUUUCAUCUCAGGACUCCCACUCUCUUUCACACAGAUUUUAAGUCACUCCCUUCCUUUUUUUUAUUCUUCUGUCUAAAUUCAAGACAAAAAAGAAAGAAAAUAAACACACACACAUGCCCAUAAACAAGCGGGGGAAAAAAACAUCCAUUAAAAGUCUGAGAAAAAAAAACUCCAGCACCAAAACAGAGUGGCUGGCAGCAGGAAAGGAGAGUUUGAUUGAGCAGCCAGGCUGUAUGCAGACAGCGAGAUCUGGACAUUUAAACCGUGAGUUGCAGAGUAAAGGUUAGAGAAGCUGAUUUGUGGAAGUUGUUGAAAUCUUGGACAGGCUGUCAGGCCGCCUUCCACGAGGUAUUUAACCCUCGUCCACUCCAGCAGGGCUGCUUUGUGGCCAGUAGUUGAUGACUAUGGAUAUUUGUGCAGCUACCAGGUGUGAAUGUGUGUAACUAUAUAAAUGUGAAGCCGGGUGUUGCUGAAAAGAGAGUGUUUGCUUGGUUGACUUUUGUUGGAAAAAUAAAGGUUUAACAGCGGUGUUAAUUUCCCCACUGAAAGCAUUGACCAGAAAAGCUCUGUGUGCUUUUCCCACCUUUCUAACUGAAAGAAAAGAAGACCAAAAAAUGCAAAUUAAAACACUGUGUCUUAGUCAUAAUUGUUUUUUUCCAAUAAACUGCACAAACAGUUACUGAUAAGUAAGACCUCAUGCCCCGUAAAAACAGCUUCAACUGAUUCCACUAUAUUACGCUAACCAGCAUCCAGCAUGCACUAGGGCUGUCAAAAUUGCUCCAAAAGGACGUUCUAAUAUCGUUCUCAAAAUAACACAUAGGUUCGAACAUAUUUGAAUAUCUAUAUUUGCGCCUUAUGCCAACAGGAGGACAAAAUAAUACAAGACAUAACUACUUGCAUAGGUAUUUUUUUAUUCUUUUUUCAGUUUUAACAUGUUUGGGAAUUCCAAGGACAUAACAAACUAAACCCCCCAGCUCUAACUUAUGCAAACAACUGAAGGUCCCGACUCCUGUCCAUAUAGACAAGCUUUAUUCAGGGAUUGAAGCAAAUAUUAUGCUAAGAUUAAGUUAAGUGUUAUAGUAUAUAGAAUGUUAUGGAAUGAUAGGCUAAUUCUAGCUUACACAGCUUGCAUGUAACUUUGUCUCACUCAGCAUUUUUUCUGUCUGCCAUGUCUGCCAAUAAUCCGAAUUUUCCACCACUCUCUCUGAGUUUAGCUCUGAACAUCCCGCCAUCUCUGUCUGCAUGUACCACGGUCGGUUUUUGUCGAAUCUCACGGCAUGUGCAGCUCCUGUGACCUGUCCCUGACCUGUCGUUACAGUGCGCUCACUCACAAAGCAGCCGCUGUUUUUUUUUUGUUUAUUUAAUAUUCGAAUAUUAUUUGUCACAUUUGAAUCUCGUUUUUUUUUAUUUUCGAAUAUACAUUUGAAUUUAGAAUAUUAGUCGACAACCUCAGCGUGCACACACUUUUAAGAAAGUAAACUUAGCUAGCAUAGGCAAGGACGGGAGAACUGAUGAUACAAACAUGUUUAUUUGAGAGGUAAUUUUUUUAAUUAUUCAGAGCAAUAAUAUGUGUAGCAAUAAUAACCAAAGAUGGUAACAGCUGUAAUCUUACAGUCAAAGAGAUUUGUCUUUCAAGCUAACUGUUACUAACUAUAAUGUGUUGAUUAUUUGUAUUAGGGCUGGGUGAUAUGGCCUUAAAUCGAUAUCACGAUAUUUUGAGCAGUUCACCUUGAUGAGGAUAAAUGGACGAUAACUACUCUACAAGCUGCUCACCCCCUCCCACAUUAACUUUGUCUACUUCAACCACAACUUUUGAACUGUCCUCCAUCUCCUCACCCGUCUUUCCCUCUUUGUUACGGACUGGAUGGGGUGGAGUCACGUCUCUAAUGUAGGACAGCGUCUUAAAGGGACAUGAGACCAUAGCCUACCUACGCACAUCCAAAACCAACUUUUAUUUAUUUAUUUUUUGACACCAAAUAUGUUGAGAUGGGCAAAAUGACGUUGGUUAUUGUCGUAAAUUUGUCUAAAAAAUAAAAAGUGAAAUCUCUGUAUUCUGUCUUUUACUGACAUAAUCAAACUAAUAAUUAGUUUUAGUGAUUAUAAAAAUCUUAAAGUAUUUAAAAAUCUAUUUAAAAAAUAAAUCAUGAAUAUAAUAAAAAAAUCAUCUGAAGUUAACCAAAAACAGACAAGCUCUUCACAGAUGUUCAGCAUAUCUGUCCAUCUCUUCUUAGUGUAUGAUUAAACUGCUAUAAUAUUCAAAAUUCUGUUUCCAUAAUGUUUAAAUUUCACAUCGGUAUGCCGCCCAGCUGCUCCGCGCCAGACGCUAUUUCACAUUCGUGUCUGACUCUUGAGUGAUAGUGUUUAUUUUUCUAGCAACGCAGGCACCCAGUGUUAGUGCAAGACGCUGAACAAAGAGUGCAUAAGUAGAUUUGGUGUGGGACUUGGUAUAUUUUGACAUGCACGCUUGUGUACAGUACAGGCCCUGGAGCAGAUUGCAGUGUGUAUUUGUUUGCACCUGUCUGUCUCUGCUGAUAUAACCAAGAAAGAUACGGAAAAGCAGUUAAAUCAGUUUCUUUUACUGUAAGAAAGUUGCUUUCAGGAUGAACUCACAUGGUACGCCUCUGUGUCUGCCUUAUAUCAUGUACUUAUCACUGACCCAGUCCUGCACAGUCCGUUUUACAUCUUUUUGCAGUUCAUGGCAAGAACUUCUGCUAUCUAUUGAAACCAUGUGUCUCAUAUUAAACACUUCCCCUCCACUUCAAAUAAAUCAGCCAUAGCUGACGUUCUAACUUUAUUGCAGCUGUAUUAGGCUGCGUCAUCCCUCUGCACAUUCUGCAGAUAGUCUUUUUUUUUUUUUUUUUUAGUGCCACAGUUUGCACAUUCAGGUGUGCUAAUUCAACAACAGCAACUUUUUUGUUGUAAUAUUCAGAAGCUGGAGAAAGUAAAAUUCCAUUAGCGUUGAAUUUCAGAUCUGCUUUGCUUUACUUGAUUUAAGAAGGAAACCCUUUCAUUCUGUCACGACUGGAAGCUAUUUUUAGAGGCACACUGUUUAGAAAGAAGCCGCCACAACCCAAAGCUACCCCACCCCACCCAUGUCCCAUACAACCCCAGCACGUCCCCACACUACCUCGGUCUGUACCUUCUGCUCCACCCUCCCACACACUCGAGCCUCUUCCCCUGCGCUCCCAAAGCCCCUCUGAUACUCCUCUGUGAUUAACUAAUCUCAAAGGGUGAGGGUCAGGCUGCAGGAGAGGAUGACACGCUUCUGACUCUCCUCAUCCAUCCAGGGCCUUUCAUUACUUAUCCCCAUGCAGCUCUGUCUUCUGUGAAACCCCAACCUCAUUGCCCCAGCCUCAGUCUCGACCUCAGCCUGGAGCCCUGAGACAGCCGAGCAGCCAGACCCCUCAGAGGGUGCGCUGAGCCUUUGUGUGGCUGCACUCCCCUUGCUUGUCUGCCUCCCAUUAUUCCCCCAUUCAGGCUCCAAAUCAAAGCCAGCUCACAUAUGAAAUGUUUUUGAGGUUUGAAGCUUAACUAUACCACCAGUGCAACUACAGCAGCUAUUAUUACCGACGCUGCAUGAUGGAUCAAUAUUCAUGCGAGCAUGCAACUGCGAAAGAAUUUAAGCUUGAAUCAACCUACAUCAACUACUAACUCUAAUAUCAAUAAUAUUUUUGUGUUUUCAAACUUAUUAGGCUCCAUUUAUCCCUGAAAAUAUUUGCCUUUCAUAUUUUCUUUUACGUUUAAUAACUACUCAGAGUCGUGCGGUGAACUGUAAUUACCCUUUUUCACUCUCAGUUUGACAAGAGGUCAGUCAAACAGAGAGCCAGAGGGCUGCAGACUCCGGAGAGACUUUCUUGCAGCAGGCUCUUUAUUUAAUUUUGCCCAAGUGGAAAUAAAAUGACAGCUAUACUAAGCUCUUAUACUCCCUUUACGGUGAUGAUGGAGGCUUUUUGAUUUUUGUCUUUUUUUCUCUCGAACCCAAACUCUCUUUUUUUGCUAUGGUGCCCUUUCAAUAAAUAUUUUCAAGUCUGUCAGUUAAUUCUGAAAUUCCAUCGAUGAACUCCGUCCAGAAAAAUAAACCGGGCAGCCACGGCAGUUGGUCUGGAUGGGAAGUUGUUAUUUUGUUCAGGCCAUUGGCAGGGACCCCGCACAGAAAUAUAGCUUAUUUUGCUUCGUUUCAUAUUCGAGCUCCUGACAGCUUAUGUGAAAACUGCAAACUGUAUUUAAACACGACGGCUCUGCUCUGUAAUUAAAGCUCUGUUCGCACACAUGGACCAGACAAUCAAAGGGACGGGGAUUGUUCUCUGGAGGUACACAUUUCUGCGAUCAAAACAAACAGCGGUGAGAUUGCUGUCAAGUCAAAAAGAGACAAUUCUCCUCAUCUUAUUUGUAUCAAUCUCUUCUCACUUUUUAAGCAUUGAGCUGGAAACCUUGGAAAUCCCAACAGGGCAAUUUGUUGGAUAGAGCUUGGGAAAACACUGUGGUGAAAUUCAAUGUCCGCUCCGUCAGUCAUUUUUCUUUAUAAAGGAUGUUGCAGUGCAUAAAUGUUGACACAAUCACCUCAAAAAUGUCCUGCGUCAAAAGGCAGCUUCGCCGGGGUGGUUUACACCCAAUCAUCUGGCUUUGUUGUUAAAGUCAUGAGUGGGCCAGUGGACGUAGUGGCCCACAACCCACCGAGUGGGCCCGCUCAGAAAUAGAAUGGUACAUUCCUAACCAAUAUAACAGCGGCAGUGCACCAUCACAAGACCGCAGUAAAUGGCAAAAUUAUUGUGCAUACUUUCUGAGGCACGCCUAAAAAACCCCGCUGUGUCCACAUGCACUCCCGCUAACAUCAGGUAGCACUUAAGUGUCCUUCGCACUAAUGUAUGACUAAACAUGCUGCCCCUUCACCAAGCUGCCCUGAUACGUAGAGAAGGGACGCUGCCAUGUGCCGCUGCCUCACCAGGCAAUAAAGACACCCCGGCCUUCAAUAACAGGAUAUGGUCUGUGUUUCUCAUUUUGCAAAUGUGCACAAACAGCUCUUUAAAAUAAAUCGCAGCUUCUGUUUGAUAAAAAAAGAAAAGACAAAGAGUCACAGAGCAGCCGCCCAUUUCCUGGGAAACUUUGCCGUGUCGCAGCAGUAGCACUUUCGCAUGUUUUCCUCUCUAGCUGUGCAGUCUGCUGUUUUCCCACUCUCAUGUUGUAAAAAUCAGGAAUGUCCCCGCUCUAAUGAAGCGCCUCUCUGAAAAGACAGACUGCGAGAAAAUUGAAUUAAUCUUAAUAUGGCCAUUAGGUUGCCACCCAGCAGGAGAAAUAUGGCAAGACUAAACUAUUCAUGCUGUUCUGCUCUUAAUCACUUUCUUACACUCCAAUCUUUCAUAGGCAUAGUUUUGGCAAGGAUCGGGGGGAAGAGGGCGAACCCAGAGCUAAACCAGAGAUCUGUCUGCAUGACUCUGUCGUCCAACCACGCACUGAGAGCUCCUGGUGAACACACAUAGGUAUCCUUGAAGAGAAUAUCCAUUUCCCCUCACAAAAAGACACGCAGGUGUGCCUUGAAAUGAUCUGAAAUAAAAAAAGCUGAC